rnacentral:lncRNA from 1 species
UUAUUUAAUAGAACAUAUACUUCGCCGACGUUACAGAAAUUUAUUAACGAAAACAACACUUGAUAAUUCUAAAAAACAAACAAACACCACAGCUUCGUUUAAAACAUUUAAUUAGAACGACACAAACAAAUGACACAUAUAGAGAACAUAUCAGGGAACAAAACACAUUUGUUAAUUACCUCCCACGCUUGCAUCUGUUGAAGGUAGUACAAGCCCUGGAAUUAUAUAUCUUACCCUGUUUGAUACAAGCUUCAUACGCAGAAGAAGUACAUAUCGCCGUAUGUUGCAAGGCCCUCGUGGAUAUGUAAUUAUUUCUCCCUGAAAGAGAAUCCCAAAAUUCAUCAGCUCCCCCAUCUUCAUGAACAGUGAGAUUUCCCCAGUCACUUAUCAUCUGCCCUGAGGUUACAACGCCAAGGAGCAAGAGAAGGACGAAGACUAUUGACUUCAUUUCUUCAAUUAUUUGUCUUUUUUUUUUUGUUUUUCUGUGGUGUGAGGAGUGAUGGAUAGGGAAGAUAGAUAUAGUGGUAGUAUGAUUACUUUGGUUGGUCCAUAUUUAAUAUGAACUAAAUGUAUCCCUGAGCAUAUGUAAACAAUUAUAUAACAUGAAAUUUUUAAAAUGUUUUUGUAUUUGGUUAUCAAAACUAUAUUAUUUAAUUAAAAACUAUAUUAAAAUUUUCAAAUCACUUUUUCGAUGAAAACGCCAGCCAACUUCUUUUUUUGUUCAUGGAUUGUUUUUAAAUUUGUUUUUCUAGAUUUCCAAAUAAUAUUUAGAGAAUUACUCGUUCUUUUACCUCUAUUUUGUUGUUUACCAAUAAUUUCCACCGAAUAUUGGCUUUAUUACAUACUGACAUAUACCUUUGUACAAUUUCGUUUUACAACUUUUGUCGUAGCUUUUUUAGGUUUAUUAAACUGUAAAAAUUGAUGAUAUAUUUAGCUGAAGUUGAUGUUUAAGCUAGUGGAAGUAACAGUAGAGUGACUAGAUUCCGUGAAGUAAAAAUCCCACUACCGACGAUGCAAAGUUAGUGGCAGUAACAGUAGAGGCCUUAUCCACUACUGCAUGUUUUGCGAUAGUACAACGUAAUGCCUAAUGAAUGAUUAAAAUCAGGGCCUGAAUAUCCAAGGCCCAUUAUAUAGUCAGUUUUGAUUGAGUCGCAAUUGGACUUCACCGCCAUGUUCGUUUGGCAGUCGUUAGCGACCAACGACUAUUCGUUUGACAGUCGUUAGAUCCAGCGACCAAUCACAGUAACUGGUCGCAUCAAUCAGCGAUACAAAUUUUUAGUCGCUAAAUUUUUCAGCGAUUGGUCGCCAGGACCAACGACUGCGAAACGAACAACAUAGCGACUACAAAAUAAUAUAAAUAAAAAUAAUUUAAUUUAAAAUAAAAUAAAGCAAACCAAAAUACAAUAAAAAUAAAUAAAAUAAACUUGGUUUUAAUUACAUUGGUUUGAAUUAGCUUAAAUUAAACUAAAACUAGAUUAAAUUAAAUUUAAUAAAACAAAACUAAUUUAAAAUUUUAUAAUUUAAUUUAAAAUAAAUGAAUUGUUUAAUUAAAAAUUAAAAUAUAUAUAAUUAGUUUUUUAAGAAUGUAUAGUAUUUAACUUAAGUUUUAAUGAAUUAAAAUUUUCAAAAAAUAAUAAAAAAAAAUUUUAAAAAUCAAAUAUAUAUAUAUUGCGACUACCAAACGAACAAUACAUCGACAUCUGUCAAACAAACAACAAAAGCAAUCGCUAGUCGCAGUCGUAGUCGCUAAACGAACAUGCCAACAUCAAAAACAACAAAAUCAUUUUAAUUACCAGAUGAGUUCUUUCCACGGUAUAGUCCAUUAUUCAACAUUAAACUAUAUUUGCCAAUAAAUUUAGAGUACUAUAAAUAUUAUUUUAUUAGUUAUUUCCAAAGCCUAAAGGUACCCCAACUCUAGACAGCAUGAAACUAUUUUUCUCAAAAUUGUAACUAUUUCUACUUUCCAAUGUAUAUAUAAUACUACUUUUUCUAAUUAUUAAAAAAAGCAGUAACUAGUAUUCUAUCAUUAAUAUUUGAAAAAAAAAAAACAUUUUCCUAUCAAGAACAAAGAUGUGUAUUUUACUAAAAUAACUGAUUACGUAGGCUAAUGGUUUAAUCAUAUACAAAAUAAAAUCGACUUAACAUUAAAGAUUAUUAUUAUUUUUUUGUUUUUUUUUUGUCAACCACACAUUCAUUAAAGAUUAUUCAUUAAAGAUUAUUAUUUAGAAGUUGAAAUUUUCAGACAUUUUAACCAUUUUCCAUAUUUGAUCAAACAAAUAUAUAGCCUUAUGAACAUGAAACGUAAAAAAACUAAAGAGACAUCAUUUAAUUGCAAACAUGAAACAUGAUUUAGUCAUUGGCGUGUUAGGAUUUGAUUUCCAAAUCCGGCCCUUCUAAAAUGAAUUAAGUAAACAAUAAAUUUACAUAAUUUAUAAAGGGCUCACUUUCAAUGUGGGAGAUCAUUUGAAAGAUAUACGUACCUUUUUUUCUCCUUUUUCGCUCCUAAGCAAUAAAAGAUGAUCACAACAGCUUAAUUAAUAAAGUUGAACAACAUAUUAUCAGAAUGUUAGAUUACAACAUAUUUGUCAUAGGUUCCACCCAUAUUUUCAGUCUUUUUCCAAUUCCACUUAAACAACUUAUAUUUUUUCCAAUUCUACCCAAUUUUAUAUAAUUCCUCCUAAUUAACCAAAAUCAAUUAUUCUCCCUAAUUGCGUUUUAAAAUCAUUAAAUCGUGAAAAUUAGAUUUUGUUUUGAGGAAAGCUAAUCUUUUGUGGCAAUCAGUGGGUUUUGUUUCGGAUUGCUAGAUAUUGGUCGGGUCAAUGUCUUCAACUUUCGGGUUACAAAUUUUGGUACAGUAAUCGCGAUUUAUCAAUUUAAAACACAAUUAAGGAAAAUAAUUGAUUUUGGUUAAUUGAAAAGAAUUAUAUAAGAUUAGGUGGAAUUGGAAAAAAUAUAAGUUGUUCUGAUGAAAUUGGAAAUAGACUGAAAGUAUGGAUAAAAUCUAGUUGAAACGCUAUAUUACAGGGGACAGAGACAUGCAACCCUAGUUUUUUAGCCCCAUCACCACAAAUUUUGUAGAGAUAUUAGUAAUUUCGCUAUCUUAUUAUCUUGAAUCGUGGUGGUGCUCAUAUAAGCAAGCCAUGAGCCAACGCAAACGGUUCUUUUGAUCAUAACGAAUGACUUCUCCAUUUCAAUUUUUUUUUUUUUGAAAGUCUUCUAAAAUAGAAACUUAAGUUGCGUUAGUCGAUUAAUGUUUACGUCAUAUAUGAUGGUAAAUGUUGACAUAUGAUUGAUCUAACCUAUCACAUUCACAAUCUCAACGGUUUCAAUCUAUGCAUUAAUGAUCUGAGAUUGACAUGCCUACUAUGUUUAGAGUAUAAUUGUGAUCGAUAACAUGUGAUAUUCGACUUGAGUUGCAUCAAAUAUAAUUUGAUAUAUCUUGUCAAAUUGUUGUAAAAUAUAUACGUGCAUUUUUCUGUAAUUAUAACUUAUCGUUUUUAAUAGGUUUGCUACUUGAAUAAAUUCGACUAAAAUAUAAUAAUAAUGACAAUGUUAACUCCCAGGAAUAUAAUUUACCCAGGUCAUAAAAUAGACUAAUAAUAGAAAAAAUAAUUUUUUUUCAUAACCAACAAAAAAAAUAUACUAAAUCCUAAAAUAUAUGUAGUGAUUUUCGAGACUAAGAGAAGAAUAUACAGAAACAUAAAACAAAAACGUACCAAAACAGUCGUUGGAGGAUUCGAACGUGGGUUCAAGAGGUACCAUACCUCAGGAACUUACCAAAUAUGCUAGAUGUACUUUAUGUCUUUAUAUGCAUUCAAACUUUUUUAAUAUUUUGACCAGGUCAUGUGACCUCCUUAGUUCCUUAGUGGGUCCGCCCCUGCGUACACCUAUAUCUAAAUUACUACUAAUAUUUAUUUCCUAGUUAAUUUGCUAUUUGUUUUCCAAGAAUAGGUUUCGUUAUUUAUGAAUAUAUUUAUUUUCUAAUUUCAAGUUUGCAUUCUUCAAGCUCAAUCUCUCUGAAUGGACUCUGGAACUGUUGGCAAUUUAAUUUGGAGUGAUAAUCUAGAAUACUUACCUACGAAUUGUGGAGUUUCUUGAAUUUAUUGAUGACGCUAUUACUACUUUACAACAUGUUUAGUUGAUGCAGGUCAAUGUUAUGUAUAUGUAGGUUAUGAGGAGAGGGUGCAGCUGCCCCUGGUGGACUCUACUAUCGAUCGUUGACACUUGACACCCUCGUGAAAAGUCUUAGCUCCCAAUGUUUUUGCUCGGUGUCAUGUUUUUUUUAAUGGGUUUGAUUGGUAAUCAUGUACCAAUGUGGUAUACUAUUUUGAUUAUUACCAGUCACAAAAAUGUUACUAAAAAAGAUGUUAAAAACCAUGCUUUUAGUUUUGUUUGUAUCAUAAUCUCAUACCGUUAUUUUGUAUCGUUUUUAACUAUUUUUGUAUCAUUUAUCAUUUUUUUAUCCGUUAAAAAAUGUUUCCGUUUUAUGUUACCAGUCGGAUCCACUAAUUUUAGAAGUUAAUUAUUUUUCAACUUGGAAAGUCCCAUUUUGUAGAAAAACAAUAUUUCUCUCAUAAUUGUAUGAUAUAAUUUCCAUUAAUUAAUUGAUUUUAAUAUAGUUUUAUCUACAUUUUCCCAAAAAUUUUGCAUUUACAUCAUCGACUUUCAUGCCUCGGCUUUCAUGCUAUCGAUUCUAAAUGGACUCACGCCUCUGACUCUUGCCCAUUUUACACCAUUUGUGUCUUCUUCUUACUUUUUUCCCUACAGAAUUGACUUCACAAAAAUCACCCACAUGGACCCAAUCACAUCUAAGAGGAAGAUUCUUACACAACAUGUGAGUGAAAGAAUGCAGCAGCCAGCAGCCCACACAUCAUGGAAAGUCUAUUUAAUUAAGGUUUUUCCAUACGUUUACAAAAAUAAACAAAAUUCCAUGGUUCUUUAGCUAUAUACAUUACUGCUAAAAUACAUGAACAAAUAAGAAAAAUUCGUAAGUAUAAAUAAAAUUUUACCUUUAUAAAACAUAAUAUAUUACUAAACCUACGCAACGCGUGAGCCAUUUUCUAGUAAAACAUAAAUAGAACAUGUUUUUCUAUUUCCAAAUCUUUUUCCGUCUCGUUUCCAAAAAAUCUGUCCCGAAUUUUCGUUUGUCCACCCCUAAUCAAUCGUAUCAAUAAACUCGAACAAAUUUUAAGUUGACUUUACGUAUGUAUGCUAUUGCGCAUUCAUUUUGUGGGUAUGUAAUAGUAUAUGUCUUCUAGCGAGUUAAUGUAAACAUUCUUCUGUAGGAAUAUAUUUGUUAGAACAUACACGUGAACUUUCUUUGUUAGUUCUAAAGAAACAGUUUUGAAUUUUAUCUAUUAUCAUCAUACCUUCGAUGAAAUGGUUAUUUCGAAUGGCGCCCAUGUGCCCGUCUUCCGAAGUACUUUAUUAAACUCUUUUCGUGAAACAAUCAUAUAUUAUUAUUUAGGAAAUCAUACAUAUAAAAUUAGGGUUUCACUCUCCCAUAAUUGGUCCAUUUGGCAAUUCACUUUUUCAAAAAAAAUUAUAAUAAUAUUUAUAUCUUCCUAAACCACAAAUACAACACAUUUAUUCAUAUACAUUAAUAUACCAUUUAAUACCAAAUUGUAACCAUCAUACAAAUUGUGUAUUAAUUGUAUAUUUCCCCACUCAAUGUCAUUCAAACACACUAUAAAUUCAAAUUGUAACUCCUAUAAUUUUAUUACUAUUAAAAUGUAACUUCCAUCACUUUCUAUACUAUAAAUAAUCAUUCUCACAUCUUCUUCCACCAUAUCUCAAAUCCUAAAUAUUUUCUUUGUUUUUGUGUUGUUGCAUGAGUUGAAAAAUCAAUUGAAACAUCAUUGUAAAGGUUUGAUUAUAAAUUUUGUUUUUAGAGACUAUAUGGUAUAUAUUUUACAUUGUUUUCAAUUAUAUUUUUAUUCUCAUGUCUUACUUGAAUAUACUUAUUCUUUCUUUAAUUUUCAUAUUUUUAGUUCAAAACUACAAAUGUAUAAUAAUAAAUUUGAUGGCUAUAAUUUCUGAUUUUAAUUCAAAAUUACAUACUUUGAAGAUUUAACAAUGAAGUUUUCAAAUAUCAAAUCAACCAUUGCACAAGAAGAAAAUCAAGUUGAGAAGAUCCAUCUCUAUUUUCUACAAUAAAUAAAUUAUUGUAAUAUCAAAUAAUAUUUUUGCUAAAUUUCUUACAUACUUCUUUCUUAUCUCAAAUAAUGUUUUUUUUUUUUUUUUUUUUUUUUUUUUUUUUUGGGCGAAAUCUCAAAUAAUGUUUUGUAUUAUUUUUAAUAUACUCAUCAGAUUAAUUUUUGUGAUCCAAUCAAUAAUUAUAUAAAAAUCAUUAACUAAAAUGUUUAUUCUCUUCAAAGCUUGUGGUUUAAGUUAAUUUCUAAAAUAAAAGAAUUUAUUUACAAAAUUUUAUAAUCCAACCUAGCAAUUUAAAUCAUAUAAAUAUUUAAAUUGAGUUGAAUAUAAAAUAUAUUUGACAUAAAUAUCUUAUUGUUGUAUAAUUAAAAUAAAUAAUAGUCUAACAACAUUUUCUGUAUAUCUAGAAAAUACAUUAUAUGACUUUCACUCUCUGCUUUUUUAAUAUUUUCAAAUAUUUAAUAUUAUGAUAUAAUACUAUCUAUUAUUAACUCACAUUUAACUUUAUACGUAAUUUGCAUACAAAAUAAUUAUAAGAACAUCAAAACCCCACUAAAAUACAUUUAUUACUUGACUAAAAUCAUUGACCAUAAUUUUUAGUUUGAAUGGUUUUCCUACUAAUUUUAAAAAAAAAAACUGUAACUCCCUAAAUGUAUUUAUUUUCUAAAAAUAACUUUCAACACUCAUCAUCCUACAAAUAAUCUUUCCUUCAUUUUCCUCCACCAACAUCUCAAAAUUUUAAUAUAUGAAUAAUGAUCUAACAUAUAUAUAUUAUUUAUUUAUUCAAGGUUUGUGGUUAAUAAUAUCAUUAUUAUUUUAAUUUGAAUUAAAAUGGUUUAAUAAUCUUAACUAGUAGUAAAAAAUUUAUAAAGGUGAAAUAUCUAAAAAAAUUUUUAUCAAUAUAACUUGAAUUGCGUGAGAUAAUGAGAAAGAAAGAAAAUAGUCUAAAACUAUUCUCCAAAUAUUAUAUAUAUAUAUAUAUAGUUUUUACUCAAAAAUUAUUUAACUUUUUAUUAUUGUAAAUCAAUCAAACGAGUUUUACAUGAACAAACGAACAAAAAGUUUAAAUACCAUAUUAAUAUAUAUAUAUAUAUAUGUAAUUUUAUUCCUAUUUAUAAUUAAAUUUAGUCCAAUCAUUUGAUUGUUUACACUACUAUUAAAAUCUAUACAAAAACAACAAUAAGUCACAAUGGGAGCUGCCAACCUCCGUAGAAGCCUAUCUCCGCUACAUGCCGAAUUCGAGGCCCUCCUUUGGGCGAUGAAGUGUAUGAUUGGUGCAGAUAAUCAAGAGGUAGCAUUCCUUACAGACUGUUCUGACCUGGUGAAGAUGGUGUCUUCCCCAACCGAAUGGCCGGCCUUCUCAGUGUAUCUGGAGGAAUUUCAGAGCGACAAGGAAGAGUUCUCUACCUUCUCUUUAUCUUUAAUUUCUCGUUGUGCAAAUGCAAAAGCGGAUAAUCUGGCACGAAAAAUUCGUACGGAACCGCUUCAUAUCACUUAUGUAAACAACAUUCCACAAGAAUGGCUCUUUUGAGUAAUAUUUAAUUACAGAUGACAAAAAAAAAAAAAAACAACAAUAAGUCACGCGUAGCGUGGCUACAUAUACCUAGUACAUAAUAGAAAUAACAUCGAUUUUUGUAAGUUAUAAUAUUAAAAUACUAUUAAAGAUAAAAAAAAUUUAGACUAAAUUAAUUCAUCGUAUUAAAGAUAAACAAGUGAAAUAUAAAUUUUGUAAUUUAAAUUAAAUUUAGAAACGAAAAUUUAUACAUUUAUUUUUUUAAAUGUAUAAUUUUAUAUAUUGCGAUGCCCAUCUCCUCUAUUUUGGAGACAUACAUCGGAGCAAAAUAAUUCUAAAAUAGAAUUGCUUCUAAAAAAAAAAAAUAGAAGUGGACAUUAAAGAUGGUAUAAGACCUCCAACUGACACGAUCUUUCACGCACUUUGGAAUGCCUUUGCAUCCAAAAGUGCAUCUCUUCGUCCAUUUUCAAGCUCCAUUCAAAUGAGGUGUUCUCAAAAACAAAAAUAAACAAAAACAAACGAAAAAAAUGCAAAACAACCUUGGACUCCAAAUCCAUUAAGACUCACUAAUACUCGAAGUACAAAAUAACACAAAUAUAAAAAGAAAAAAAAAUCACCAAGAAAAUGGUGAAAUCAAGAGAGUCAAAGUGGUAAAAUCUAUGAAUAUCAAAUAUGAGUGAUUAUAUCAUGUCCUAUUAUGUUCUAGUAAGAGUAAAAGAUCCCGCCGAGAAUCCGUCUGGACCCAAAGCAAUCAAAUUUGGUUCUUUUUAGACACUAUUUUUUUUUAAGUAAAUAACUGAAAAUACAAAUCGUGAUCAAAGUUAUCACUUUAUCACAGCGAUAAUUGAAGUACAUGAUACCUAAAUAUUAAUUUCUACCAAACUCUACUAUAAUAACAAAUUAUUUAUUUAUAACAAAACCCAUCACGAUUCAAUUAUAAAGCACAAACUUUAAUAUGAAAUGAACAGAGGAAUCUUCCUCAUCCAACUAACUACCGAACAACUUAUUCAUGUCAAAGAUCUUGAGAAAUUAACUUUAAAUUCUACUAUUUCUACUUCCUACUUUUUCACCUUUUUAGUAUUAAAAUAUGCAAUAUUAUUUAAUUACAACCUUUUAAUAUUUUUAAAAAUUCACCUAAAAAAGUAAAACUUGAAUCUAGUUAUUUUUAAGUUAAUGGAUCAAACUUGUUGGACCCCACACUUCACUUGAUCUGCAGUUUUUUUUGGGUAUGAAAUUGUAUAUGCUAAUCUAAAACGUAAGAAGAUAUACAAGAUAAAUCAUUUUAAAUUUAUGUUCUUUAUAAUUAGUUGAAAAUGAACUCAACCGUUAUCACCUUUUUUACGGAAUUGUAUUUAAUACUCCCUCCGUUUCAUAAAGAGUGUCGUUUUAAGGUUUUAUUUUUGUUUUACAAAGAAUGUCGUUUUAGGUUUUCAAUGCAAAAUUUAAUGAUUUUUUAUGUUUUAUGACUAUUAGUACUCUGCAGAUUAUUUUACUAUUGGGCAGAUUAUGUUUAGGUAUAUAGUUAAUGAUGUUUUUGUUUAGAAAAAACAAAAAAUUUAAUGUUUUCUUAAUUUGUGUGCAAAACUCUAAAAUGACACUCUUUGUGAAACAGAGGGAGUACAUAUUACCAAUUUGUAGAAAAAUAGUACUAAAAAACUCUUAUUAUCAUUUGGAAACAUAUGUGGAAUUUUUUUUGUCUAGUAGUUAUCAAAAGAUUUAAUGGUUCUACACCAGAUUCGAAUCCCGUGUAUUAUCGCAUUUCUAAUUUAGUCUUCUAUUAGUAUUUCUACAAUGUAUGAUCAAUGAUUUCGUUGUAAAACCUUGUGGUUUGUUGGAUUAGAUGAGUUAUGUUGACUGACACUCGACAUUUGGUUGUAAUAUCUGUUUUUUUAAUUUCGUUUAUGACAAGUUUAUAGUUUAGGACCUUCAGGUUAAGCUUUUUUUUUUUUUUUUGUAACAUUUCAUAGUUCAUUUUAAAUAACAUUAGGUGAAUAUCUACAAUAGGCCGCACUCUUUAAAAAAAAAAAUCAAUAAAUUAGGAAAUAAAUACAAUUAUAUUCAAAUAGAUUAUUUGUCAAGACUUCCUACGAUAAUGAGAUAUUCAAGAUCGAGACUCUGUUUAUUAUUCAAAAAAGAAGAACAGAAAGACAAUAUUUGAGUAUCAAGAGCCAAUAGAAAACCAUACAUUGAUUUGGAUUGUUUUAAACUCCAUAUCUCCCUCAAAACUAAAAGGCAUAUAACAAACCAAAUAGUCAAAGACCCCUAAUUUGUAUUCCUAAUCCUUUAACUAUAGUCUAUUUGUAGAAUUUGCCAACUGUUUCCCUGUUUGAAUCCAACGCUUACUCUGACUGAUUAUGACGUUAAAUCUUGAAAGCUCUACAUUUAACAUCUCCAAGAAAAUUAUGAUGUGGCAGACACCUUCUUCCUCCUGUAUAUAUUUUGUCAUUUGGGUAACUUAUUUUCUCUGCAUUGAUUGGCGAAGACAGAUUUAAAGUCCUGCUUCAUCAUCAUAUUUUCUCUUUAACUUGCUCCUCCUUGUCCUAUGCCUCUCCCUCUCACCCUAAACAAAACAGAUGAGAUGUGAAAACACAUUUAAACCUCUUGGUUUGCCAUCCAACUCUAAAACUUGAUGGUAACAUAUAUCUAUAUCCUUUUCCUAAGAGUUAGUUAUAACUUUUAAUAUGAUAUAACGUUUAGUUAUGUUAUAUAUAUAACAAAAAAAAAAGACGACCGAACCUGAUAUCGUUCAAUUGCUCAGUUCCGUUGAUUGUGACCGGUGCGACGAACGGAACCGAACAAUGGAAGAACCCUUUUGUGAUGGUGAUUGGGUCGAUAGAUCAUUCCUAUAUAUUAAAAAAAAAAUUUUGUUUAAUUAAAAUCAAAAUUUACCCUCGAGAAUUCACACAUGCAUAUCACCGUGGUUUAAUAUAUGUCUUGACAGAUCACAUUAUUAUUACAAACGACUAACAAUAAUUCAUCAUCAAAAAUAUAUUAUUCUUUGAAAUAACUCUUUGGUCACCAUCAUGCAUAUUUUCAUACUAGGAGACAACAAAAGUGACAAAUAUGUCAUGUUUUCCCAAAUACUAUCAGAACUCUUAGAAUAAGAAAUAUACUCAGAGUUGGUGUAAUUCUUUAUUAUUUUUUCACUGGUUAGUUCAUUAUCUAUCUCCUCUCUGCUCCCUCUAUCUCUCUAAGCAUGCUACACUUGGGACUUAACUUAGCUUUCUAUAUAAACACUUGCAAACACAUCCUCCUAGUGUCAACCACAUUCCAUAGCCAUCUCUCUCUCCCUCUCUCACUCACUCUCUCUUUCUCUCUGGUUUGUUUCAAAACAGAGUACAAAACAGAGAAAACAAGAGAAGAAAACAGAUUGAUCUGUUUUUAAAACAGAGCAGAUAACAGAGUGAGAUGGGAACAAUGAUGGUGAUGAUGGGUCUUCUCUUUAUCAUUGUCUCGCUCUGUUCCGCUCUUCUUCGAUGGAAUCAGAUGCGAUAUACCAAGAAUGGUCUCCCUCCUGGAACCAUGGGCUGGCCAAUCUUUGGUGAAACCACCGAGUUUUUCAAACACGGCCCCAACUUCAUGAGAAACCAAAGACUCCGGUAAGAAUAAACUCAAACAAUCAAAUCAAGAUUUUGUUUUCCUCUACCAAACCAACUAACUUGGGAUCAACAGAUAUGGGAAUUUUUUCAAAUCUCAUCUUCUUGGUUGUCCAACGUUAGUCUCGAUGGACUCAGAAGUAAACAGAUACAUUUUAAAGAACGAAUCAAAAGGUUUGGUUCCUGGUUACCCACAAUCCAUGCUUGAUAUUCUCGGAACUUGCAACAUGGCUGCGGUUCACGGUUCGAGCCACCGGCUUAUGAGAGGUUCACUUCUCUCUCUUAUAAGCUCGACCAUGAUGAGAGAUCAUAUCUUGCCUAAAGUUGAUCACUUCAUGAGAAGCUAUCUUGGUCAGUGGAAUGAGCUUGAGGUUAUUGAUAUCCAGGAUAAGACCAAACAUGUAUGUUUUUACCUUUAUCUUUUUCCUUCUCUGUUUUUACUUUUUUACCUUCUCUGCUUCUUCAGUCUAUGCCUUACAAGAGGAUGUACUGUUUUACUAUGUCAGAUAAAUUCUUUCAAAAAUAAAUCAAGUAGUUGUAGUUUAGUGGUUGAGGAUUGAUUAUUUCGAAAUUUUCUGUUUUUUAAGUAAGUGAUGUUUUGGUAUAAUAAAUUUUACAGUUACAUUAUUAAUUGAUUCCCACCGAUAUGGUUACAGUUUUUGAUAGAGACUGAUAAACAAACUUAUAAUCUUAUAUAUUUUUUUUUUUGUUAAAGCACUUAUAAUCUUAUAUGGAUGGGUGUAAUAGUAAAUAACUGAGAAUGUUUGUCUUCGCUUAAAUUCAAGAAUACUUGUCAGACUUUUUUUGUUUAUUUAUGUAUAUUUUGUGUAUUUUUAAAUAUUUUUUUCUUGAGUGGGUUUCAUGCAGAUGGCAUUUUUAUCUUCACUGACACAAAUCGCUGGGAAUUUAAGAAAACCAUUCAUUGAGGAAUUCAAAACUGCGUUCUUCAAGCUUGUUGUUGGAACUUUAUCGGUUCCGAUCGAUCUUCCCGGCACAAAUUAUCGUUGCGGGAUCCAAGUAAAAUACUUGAUCUUCACUAAGAAAAAUUUUAAAAGUAAAAAAUUUGACACAAACUGAAUUUUUUUCGGUUGCUUUUCAGGCAAGAAAGAACAUUGAUCGGUUUCUAAGAGAGCUGAUGCAAGAACGUAGAGAUUCUGGAGAAACAUUCACAGACAUGUUAGGUUACUUGAUGAAGAAGGAAGAUAACCGAUACCCAUUAACCGAUGAAGAGAUAAGAGACCAAGUCGUGACGAUUUUGUAUUCGGGUUACGAAACUGUCUCUACGACCUCAAUGAUGGCUCUUAAGUACCUUCAUGAUCACCCAAAAGCUCUUCUAGAACUCAGAGUAUGUCUCUAAGAAAAUAGCAUAACGGUUUUUCGAUUGUCUGGUUUAAUCCGGUUCGGUUAUUUGAUUCCGGAUUGUUUUGGAAAAUGCAGACAGAGCAUUUGGCUUUAAGGGAAAGUAAACGACCAGACGAACCACUUGGUCUUGAGGAUGUAAAGUCAAUGAAGUUCACUAGAGCUGUGAGUAACAUUAAUGUUAUACUAACAAUAACUAAGCAUUAGUUGUUAGUUGUUAGCGAUUAAUUAAUCAUUACUAAUUAUUUAUUACAGGUUAUUUUUGAGACAUCAAGAUUGGCAACGAUCGUUAAUGGGGUCCUAAGGAAAACUACUCGUGACUUAGAAAUCAAUGGUACGCAUAUAUAUAGUUUUAUUACAAAUCCUUUGUCGGGUUGAUUAUAAAUUUAUAGUUUUAAAUUUAGGAAAAAUAAAGAGAGAAAUAAUGUGAGCAUGUGGUGGACCUUAGUAUAGAUCAAUGAUUUAGAAUGUAUUAUGAAUACCAACCAAAUCCAGCUAUGAAAGCAUCCUCUUUUGAGUGAGCCAUCUUUGGGUAUUUGAGCUCCAAUAAUUUUGACAGAAUAUAAACCUUUUUUGUGUGUUCUUUAAUUGAUUUUAGUAUUCUGAUCUAGUGAUCAUGAAUCUUUAAUAAUUGCAGGUUAUUUAAUCCCAAAAGGAUGGAGAAUUUAUGUAUACACGAGGGAAAUUAAUUACGAUGCAAAUCUAUAUGAAAACCCAUUGAUCUUUAAUCCAUGGAGAUGGAUGGUAAGUAUUGUACUUCAUAUAUUUAAUAUGAAACGUCGUUUUAGAGUUUUAUUUUUGUUUGAAUGUCGUUUUGAAUUAUCAAUGCUAUUUAAGCCAAAUUUAUGAUUAUAUCACUACUUAUAAAACUUAUUGUAACUAGAAAGAUAAUUUUAUAGUCUUAGUCAGACAAAAUGAUCUUGUACUAAUGAAGAGUAAAAUUUACAUUUUAACAUCUUUUACAUAUAUGUAGAUUUUUGUAAACGAGACUUAAUUUAAAACGGAAAGACUAUUGUGUCGUCCUCGUUUCCUUUGGUUCUUUCAGUGAACACUUAUGAUUUAAAAUGAGGGUUUUAUUAAUGCAGAAGAAGAGCUUGGAGUCACAAAACUCAUGCUUUGUGUUUGGAGGUGGGACAAGGCUUUGUCCUGGUAAGGAACUAGGGAUUGUCGAGAUCUCGAGCUUCCUCCAUUACUUUGUUACGAGAUACAGGUGUGUUCUUGGUGAUGAUCUAAUGUAUUUGUUUUGUUUGAAGUUAUUGUUGUUUGAUAUGAGAAGUUUUUGUUAAUACUAAUUCCUUUGUGAUGAAUCAAUUAUAAUGGCAGAUGGGAGGAAAUAGGAGGGGAUGAAUUAAUGGUGUUUCCAAGAGUUUUUGCACCAAAAGGCUUCCAUCUUAGGAUUUCACCCUACUAAUUUUAACUUUUUAAAAUGAAUAAAUAAAAAUUUAGAAAAUAAUAUAGAUUUUAUGCACAAAGGUUACAGAAGACGUAUAUGAAGCAACAAAAGAAGAUAAUUAUAUAUAUUUUUCUUUCUUUUUGACCCAUAUUUUUGUUCUCAUUUAAGAGUCUUCUGGUCAUAUGUACAUAACCAUAAGCAGUUUUAUUAUAUCUAUUUCUCUGUAACUCUAUUUGAACUUGAAGUAUAUCUCUGGCUAAUUCUUGAUGAUGUUCUAUAUCAAAUCUAAAUAACUUCUCCAUCCAAACAUAUGUAGCUGACUUAGUUAAACCUGGCGAAGCCCAUGGGCCAGCAAUAAUGCAUAGACUUUUUUUUGUGGUACCAAUCAAUUUUAUCUGAUAUUUUGAAUUAAACUUAAAGAGUAACAAAGGUUCAAGCAAGAAAUCAAGCUAAGAAGUGCAAAGGCCAAAACAAAAGCGAAUAGGGGAAACACAACGAAAACGUUACACAUUGCUAACAUUUCCUUGUCAAAGAGGUCAUUUAGCCAUCAGAGAUGACCUUAUGUUUAAUGAGCUAGGGUUGAACUUAGAAAUAACUAUAAGUAUGCGGUCAUAGUUAUGUGAUUUACAAAGGAUUUUGGCUGGAACCAAAAUGAUUCGAAAUUUAAGAUGCAGUCCUAAAGGAUAUGUGAACUCUCAAAUUUCCUGAUUGAUAUUUCGUUAAAUUAAACAAUUUUGUUAUAAAAUUAAGAUUUUCUGUUGAAAUUAAAAUAAAUAAAUAAAUAAAUAAAAACAAAAGUGAAAUGAGAUAUUUUCUCCAUCUGGAGUGUUACAUCAUCACCAAUUUUUUUUUUCUUGUUUGCUUCCUAAUUAUAAUAGUUUCUUUAAAAUUUAAAUUACUAAUAGUUGAGUUUAAGUAUGGUCAAAUAUACAUGUCAUUAUUAAAUUUUUUUUUUUUUGGCUUCCUAACAAUCAUUUGAAUUUUAUUUAAAAUUUAUAUGACUAUAUAGUUGAGUUUUUUUUAAUGUAAUUUUAAAUUAUAUUCAAAAGAAAAAAAAACGUAUUUACAUCAAUUGCAACAUUUGGUAGAAAGAGUUGUAAAACAAAUUAUUAUAGGUGAGUUUUAAGUGUGGUCAAAUAUACAUUUUACUAUAUAAAAUUAGUUUUUAUUUAAUUGGUGAAAUAAAAAUGAGCAACUCAUAUCCCAUAUUAAAAUAAAGCAUAUACAUUUCAAAUACGAAGGCGGUCUUCAACUAUGGUUUGGAUCAAGACAAGCUCAAGAUUAAUCUCUUUAUGCGAGAAACUGUUUUAUGAAAAGUAUAUGCAUUAAGUUGUAAAACAUGUUUUCUUUCUCUUUUUGAAUAUAAUUUAACAUCUAUUCAAAAAAAAAAUGAAGAUUAUAUAUAUAUAUAUAUAUAUAUAUAUAUAUAUAUAUAUAUAUACUUGAAAAUCCAAAAAUGCGACACUAGGAGUUUGAAAUGGUUAUACAAAAGUUUAAAAUCGUGUUCUCUCAAGUCUCACAGCACCCCACAUUUAUUAUGGUUGUAAUAUUUCAGUUCAUAAUGCAUUUGAAGUUUGAAAUGGCAUUGUUUGCUACUUUGCUUAAUGAUUCUAUUUUCUCAACUUGUCAUGAGUUUAUACGUGCUUGUUUCAAUGAUAUUUCAAUUGCACGUGCUAGCUGUUGAGUUGACUCGAACAAUUGUCAAUGUUAAUUUGUUCGUUUAAUUUUAGUAACAUGCCACGAUUGUAUAAAUCCAUGUCCAAAAUUGGAAUAGAUAAGGCUUAUCAUCGAUAUGGAGAGACAGCAGCUUGAGCAGCAGACAAGUGAGAUUCAAACGGUGUUUUUUUUUCUUCUUUUAGAUUCAAACCCUAUCGUGAUCCGGUCAGCCAAUAUGGUAUUUAAGCCUUGAAUCUGGUUAACAUUGACGGCUGCCACAUUAAACCCGACUGCAUUAGUUACGGUUCUUGGCCUAUUUAGCCCAGUGAAAAAGAAGUCAUACGCGGUUGCGAGCUUUGGGUCCUUGCAGAACUUUUCAUUCACAAAAACUGAACAUAUAUAAUAACAAAAAUGAUAAGAGAAUAUUAUAAGGUAUUGAAAUAUCAGUGAAAAAUGAGUGUAUGAAACUAUUACGAAAUCAACAUGAACAUACCGCCAUUUGCUGGGGUGUUGACACAGAUACAGAAAUAUUGAAGGGGGCUUGGAUCAGAAGCAUCGGCUGAUGAAAGUGCUAAAGCCAAGAAAGAUAGAAUUGCAAGAAAUGAGAAACUUUUUUAAUAGCCAUAUUCAAAGUGAUUCUUAGAAGAAGAUAAUGCUGAAAUAGUCCAUACAAAUGUAUAUACACCUGUAAAUCCAAGAAAUUCUAAAAUGUAUACUCUAAAAGUCUGAAAUAGUACUUAUGAAUUUUUUUAAAAAUCGUGUUCCCUCAACGCACCAUGUUUAUAGUGGUAAUAUUUCAAUCUAAAUACAAUAAGAAAUUGUUAGCGAAGUUUUAAUUUCAAAUGCAAGUUGACGUUUGAAAUAGAAAGUGUUGACAAGUUACACAAAAUGCAUUUGUUUGAUGAUUAUAUAUUCUCAACUUGUCAUGAAUUUAUAUGUGCUCAUUUUGACAAUAUUUCAUUUGCACAUGCAGCUGAGUUGACUCAACCAAAUGUCAAUAUGAAACUGUUACUUGAGUUUGAUUGUUUCUUUAAGUGAGUAGGCACGACUAUAUUAACUUACAUGUAUGCAUGUAAAUAAAAAGUGAUGUUAAAAAUUUAAAGAGAUAAUUAAUGCCUCUAAUGUUAUUACGUAAUCUUAACCUUGUCACAUAAAUUUCAACCCAUACCGAUUGUGAAUCGCUCAUCAUAGUUUUUAUAUCUUUCCAAAUGAGUUUAGUACUUAUAAUUUCAAAAACAAGAGAAAGUUACGUUCAUAACUUUCUUGGCAGAGUAUAUUAAACCUGCUAAAAGCCAUAUAUAUUCUUGUAACAAAACUUUUCAUACUAAAUGAGUUUUCACAUCCAUAUCUAAGAGAAAAAAAAAAAAAAGAAAAGAAAAAUGAGUACAGAAUUUUAAGUUUUUUCACAACUUCUAACAAAGGAAAGUACAUGUAUAUUCAGCAUCUGAACUAGAGUUCUCGUAUAGAUUCUUGGGUGGCCAUUUGCUUGCUUCUCUAUUAUCUCGUGUAUAAUUGUACAUAUUGUGAAAGGAAACUCUUGUCACUAAAGAAAAUAUUUAUCGUGAAUUCCGAAAUAUUGACGUGCAAACCAUUUAUCCAUUACUUAGAAAGGAAAUGCAUUUUUUUUUAUUUAGAAUCGAAUCAAGGUAAAAGCAAAAAAAGACAUCAUGUCAAAAUACAAUAAACGGAAAUACAAGAUCCUUAUUCAGGCACAAGUACGUAAAGGGAAAUCAGUUACGAUAUUAUUAUUUCUUGAACUUGUUUUGCAGAUCCACGACAGUCCUUGGGUUCAACUGGAACGCCUUUGCAAGAAUAGUUGGGUUUAUGGCUGGGUUAGCCCCAAACACGGUGUUGGCAAUAGUGAUGACACCAGGGUUUUGGCUGCUUAGAGCGGCGAAUGCAACCGCUGGUCCCUUGCCAAUGUUUGCUUGGAAAUGGAUGAGUCCCUCUGGAAACACAAAUACAUCACCCUCGUUGAGAACUUUAGUGAAAAGGCGAUUAUCCGGGUUUGAUGUGACAAACCCUACGAGAAGUGUUCCUUGUUCGACAACCAAGAUCUCCGUGGCACGUGGGUGGGUGUGAGGUGGGUUCUGUCCGUUAACCGCAUAAUCAAUACGGACAAGGGAGAUUCCAAGAGUAUUUAACCCGAGAAGGUUGUUAACAUUGACGGCUGUCACGGUCGACCCAACUGGACUAGUUACGGGUCUUGCAUUUUGAAGCCCUGAGAAAAAGAAGUCAUCUGCUGUGACGAGUUUCGGGUCCUUGCAGAACUUUCCAUUAACAAAAACUGAAUAUAGUAACCAAGAAGAAAAAGUGUUAUUAAGAUAUGAGAAAAUUUAUCAAAAAAUAUGAGUAAAAGUGAUUUGCAAUCAUCAUGUACAUACCACCAUUUGCUGAGGUGUUGGCGCUGACACAAAAGUCUUGAAGUUGGCUUGGAUCAGAUGCAAUAGCUAAUGGAAGUGUCAAAGCCAAGAGAGAGAGCACUGCAAGAAAUGAGAGACUCUUCAUUGCCAUAAAAGAGAGAGGAAUAAGAUUUUAGUGAAGAGAUAAGAAACUUAAGUGACAUAGACUUCAAUUUAUAGAUGAGUUUACGUGUUGAACUAAUCCAAGAAAUUAAUUAAUGAACUUGAUAUUUGAAAUGGUUAAAGUAUUUAAAUUUGUUUUCUUCAACACAUUAUGUUUAAUUGAAAAUUCAAGUUAAUAAAAUAUAUAUAUAUAUAUUUCCAACGAAACAUGAUGCACUUGAAGUUUUAUAUACAUAGUUCAGUAAAUUAUACGUUUAUUGAAUGAUUACUCGAAGGGAAGGUCAAUGUGAACGUGUUGGGGUGUGUUAAAAUGUUAGCAUCUGAUUGUUUCUUAAUUAUAUGAUAAGACACUAGGAAUAGUAUAGAGAUAAGAUAUAAUAACUAAUGUUUUCAGAGAAUAUUGUACUUUUUCACAUAAAUCUAAACCCCUAUUUCGGUUUUAAAAUCCAUCGUAGAGCACUAGCCAUAUGUAUAUGUGUGUCUCACCGAUGAAUUCUCCGCUUAUAUUCAUCAUUCUGAUUUCUUUUUGUUUUCUUUUGUUUUUUUGGGUUCCAGUGCAUCUUAUUAUCAAAAGAAACAUAACUAGCUAUAUUAUACACACUUUCGAGUAAAACUAAAAUGUUUGAUAAUAUAUACACGGUUCUACUUCUACAUAUUCUUGUUUGAAAAAUCGUUAAUGCGGAAAAUGGAAGAAUUUAAACUAGUGGCCAGUGGAACCAAAAUAUAUCAUAUUAUCCACAACCCACACCUUGGCAAAAAUGACAGUCAUACUAUUUUUUUUUUAUAGUAUUUUAUUAUUAUAAAACAUACUAGAGGUUAUCUAACGCUACGCGCCAAUUUUUUUAGCAGCAAAAUUUCACUGUGUUUAUAAAUAAAAAUUAACCUUUAUUAGUAUUUUAACAACAUAAAAUCUUAUUAUUUGACUUUUGAAAUAUAGUAUUAGCCAAAAUAUAUAUGUCAAUGAUAUUUUACAUCUAUAUUGGUAUAUGUUGAUAUGAAUUUAUUUUCAAAUAGUUUGUGAGAAGCAAUCAUAUAUACGAAAUGCCCAAAUAGAAUACCAUAAUUGCUAAAUAAUAGCUACUAUAGGCGACUAAUCUACGACUAUUUUCAUCAUUCUUCAAUUAGAGACUGAUUAGCGACUAUUGUAUAAUACUCACCGUUUGUUCGCCAAAACAUCGCAAAUCAGUCGCAAAAUUUACCGACUAAUUCAUUAGUCGCCGAAUAAAGUCGCUAAUCCGUGUUUUCUUGUAGUAUAACGUCCUGAGAGAACUCCAUAGUUAAGCGUGCUUGUGCUAAAACAAUUUCAGGAUUUGUGACCUUCCGGGAAGUAAUUACAUGAAUUGUACAAAACACAUAGAAAGAUUAUGUGGUGAUUUGUAGGGUCGGUAAACAAGUCUUUAAAGCUUUUCGGACGUAACGAACCGACCGUCGGACAUGAGUGGGACCCACGGACCCGAGAGAGGAUGUGGGGGCUCACUAGAAGGGGCGGUCGGGGCGUUACAAGUGGUAUCAGAGCCGAACCCAGGCGAGUGUGGAGUCAAGAGGGCUUACACCGUCGGGGUGACGGGCUUGGUGUGCAACGAGGACAUUGCGAUCUAUUAACGGGGGUGAUUGUAACAUCCCGGUUUUAGAAAUAUGGUGGUGCAUGUGGAGAGGUUUAAAAGAAUUGAUUUAGCCACCUAUGUUACAAAAGUGCACUUAUCUUUUCGGUCAAACGUCCUGAGAGAACUCCAUAGUUAAGCGUGCUUGUGCUGGAGCAAUUUCAGGAUGAGUGACCUUCCAGGAAGUGAUUUUCGGAAUUAUGUGAGUGAGAACAAAACACAGGGAAAUAUCAUGUGCUGAUUUGUAGGUCGGUAAACAAGUCUUUAAAGCCUCCUGGACGUAACGGACCGACCGUCGGAUAGGAGUGGGACCCACAGACUCGAGAGAGGACGUGGAUGCUCACUAGAAAGGACGGUCGGGGUGUUACAAAGAUAUAUUGCAAAAAUUAUUAAAAGCAUUUAUCUGGGAAAGGUUAGAUCGUGCAUCGCGAGACUUUAUCUGGGGAAGUACAGUGGUGCAGCGGAAACAACAUUUGGUGGGCUGGGAAAAAGUUUGCAGGCCCAAAUCAGAGGGGGGCCUGGGUGUUAGGGCUGCGCAUAAUAUGAAUAAAGCCUUGAUCUCGAAACUGGGCUGGAGGGUGAUUAAUGAUCAGCAUAGUCUAUGGGCAACGAUUCUGCGAAAAAAAUAUAGAGUGGGAGACCUACAUGAUCAGUCGUGGACAGUGGCCAAGAGUCAUUGGUAAUCUACCUGGAGAAGUGCAAAUGUCGGGUUGAGAGAGGUGGUGUUGCCGGGUUUGCACUGGGUCUUGGGCGAUGGCAGGCAAAUUAAAUUUUGGACUGAUACAUGGUUGUUCUCUACUCCGUUGGUGGACUGUACGAGUAGUGAUCUCCCGGAGACGUUGGCGGGAAGCUGUGUUCGAAAUUUCUGGAGUAAUGGAGCGGGAUGGGACUUUAAUCAGAUUAUGGGAUAUUUGUCGGAGGAGAAAAAACUGCAGCUUCUAGCAGUGGUGCUUGAUAAUGUCACCGGCGCUAAAGACAGAGUCUCAUGGGGAGGGACUACGGAUGGGAGAUUUACGGUGAAGUCAGCCUAUGCUUUCCUUACUAAAGAUGAGACGCCGAGACCGGGUAUGAGUAAGUUUUUUGAGAAGAUAUGGAGGCUGGUAGCACCGGAAAGAGUAAGAGUUUUCCUAUGGCUAGUCACACAUCAAGUAAUCAUGACAAAUGUGGAAAGAGCCCGACGUCAUUUGGGAGACUCAUCGGUUUGUCAGAUUUGCAAAGGAGGGGAAGAAACUAUUCUUCACGUUUUACGGGACUGUCCUGCAAUGUCUGGUUUGUGGGCUCGUAUCAUCCCUCAACGUGUCUUGAAUACUUUUCUCGCAGACCCUAUUGGAAUGGUUACACACAAAUUUGAGUGCAACCGUGGAAAUAGGUGAGAGCCCGUGGCCUACUCUUUUUGCAAUGACAGUGUGGUGGGGAUGGAAGUGGAGAUGUGGGAAUGUGUUUGGAACAAAUGGUCGAUGUCGGGAUAGAGUGUGUUUUGUGAAGGAUAUCGCCAGAGAGGUUACGGCUGCGAACUUGAGUGUUAAUGCAGGAGGCCGGGAUGGUCCUACUCGGGCGGUAAGACAGAUUGCUUGGAUACCGCCAGAGGAGGGUUGGUUGAAGCUGAACACGGAUGGGGCCUCUCAUGGCAAUCCGGGUUUAGUAACUGCAGGUGGAGUGCUUCGGGAUUGUGAUGGGAAUUGGUGUGGCGGUUUUGCGGUAAACAUCGGGGCUUGUACGGCACCUCUAGCUGAGUUAUGGGGAGUCUAUUAUGGAUUGUUUAUAGCUUGGGAGAGAGGAGCUAGACGGGUUGAGCUGGAGGUGGACUCGGAGAUAGUCGUGGGAUUUCUUAAGACAGGGAUUAAUGAUUCACAUCCACUGUCGUUCCUAGUACGUUUGUGCUAUGGCUUUAUUACGAAGGACUGGAUUGUCCGUAUUUCACAUGUGUAUAGGGAGGCUAAUCGUCUUGCGGACGGAUUAGCUAACUAUGCGUUUUUCGUUACCGCUGGGCUUCCAUAUGUUGGGGUCUACGCCGGAUUUUGUUUGAGGAUUCUAUAGGACUCUCGCAUCCGCGAAAUGUCCGAGUGUAGUUCGUAUUUCUUUUUUAAUAAAAUGGGAGACUAGAUCUCCCUCUUGUUCAACAAAAAAAACAAAAACAAAUGGUGUUGAAAUAAUAAUAAUUUAUAAGCCAAAAAAAAAUCGAACGGUUUACGGUUUUAAACCCAACCGAACCGGAACCAAAAUAUUUUAAAUAAUUGUAACUGAGUAUGUUGUUGGAAGAAACCGAAACCAAAACAAAUCACUUAAUUACGGUUCGAUUCGAUUUUGAUAAGGUUUUUUCUGUCCACUCUUAAUUUAUUACUGCAGACAUAGGUUUAUAAUAUAUUUUUAUCGAUAAAAAAUUUAUAACAGAGAAAAUACAAUGUAUAGAAAAUGAAUAUAUAUAACAAUACUAAACACAAACUUGGUUAACAAAAAUAUUCAACAUUAAUUAAAAAAAUAAAGCAAAAGUCCACUCGUAGAACGGAAACUUACCUAGUCAGUUAUUAUCUGAGAAUAGGGCCACCAACUAUCAAUCGAUUUGGACUUUUCCAUGUUUGACUAACAAAUUAGCUUAAUUUUUUUAUCAAUUAUUUUAGAGAAAACAUAUAUAUUCCAUAAAUUCAUAGAUGCAGAUAUCAACACCCUAUGAUUUUAACUUAUCUAAUUUCUUAAUAAAUCCAAGAACAUAAUUCAAGACAAUCCUAAAAAAACCACAUAAACUAUCAAUUGAAUCUAAGACCACAUGCAACAUCACACUAAGUUUCUGCGUUAAUUUUCUUUUUAUCAUUUAAGAUUUUUGAACAAUGAAAAUAGCAAAAUACUAUCAAUUAAUUAAUUUUUACCGCGAAAUAAGAUUUUAUAUCAUUAUAUAUUAGUUACUUUAAUAUGUCCCUUUUUUUGGACAAAAUUUAUUUUAGUAUGCCAUUGUGUAGGAUUUCACCACUAAUUGUUAUGUAGUUCUCAAUAGUUUUUUCAGAAGAAAAAAAUGUAACAAUUCGUUCACAUAGUAUUUUUUAUAUGGUAACUGUAGAUUAAUGUUAAAAUUUACAUUUUAUUUUCAAAACAUUAAAAACUCUGUAAAAUGAUACUCCGUUUGUUUUAAAAUAUAAAAUAAUUUAAAAUUCUUCUCCCUUAAAGAACGGAAAAAGAAACGUAGUCGAUUAGAAGAUAACAAUGGAAAAAUGAAAAAUAGGUAUCAUUUUACAGACUAUGACAUCAUAGUACACCUUGUGCAAAUCACUACAAAUACAUUUUUUCUAACUUUACCUAACAAUGCGAUAUUUGGCCCUCUAUUUUUAUGAUAGAUGUAAUUUUCAUUAAUUUUUUAGUUUGACAUUCUAAAUUUACAAAAUGGUCAUUAAUAGUUUUCCCACAUUUAUAUUUUUAACCAAAAGUGUGACUUUACUACUUAAUUAUUUUCGGUUACAAAUGUCAAUAUUUAUUACAUAUUAAACUAUAAUUUUGAGAAGAACUAUUUUUUACUAUAAUUGGAACUCUCUUAAUUAGUUCUAUUAAACGCAUCAUGUAACUUUGACAAUGUUGGUGUUGUAAGAGAGGCCUUGGAAGCUAGGUAGAAGAAGGUGAAACACUAAACGUCUUUAUGAUUUUGUUAGAAGAUUGUUGAUGGGUAUUUAUUCUUUUGUUAUCGAUGAAACAUAUAUAGUUUAAAUGGGAGCCGACAUAUUGGAAACAACAGAAAUUGAUGAACACUUGCUGUAACCCUCGAAAUCUUUGUUGCACAUGUAUGAUUUUGAAUUCAAAAUGUUUUGUUAAAACUAAAAAUGAAAGAAAACUAUUCUUGUAAAAUGGAAAAAAUAUUUUUGAAGUAAACUAUCAUAUUAGAAAAAAAUAAAAAUAGAGUCAAAUUCUUACCAUCAUUAUGUCUCGAUUGAUUUAUCAACCCAUUAGAUUUCAUGCUUGGUAAGGUUUAUGCUCUCCAUAAAUUUUGGGAUUAGGACUAACAUAGAUCAAAAUUUUCUAUACAAAUUUGAUUUUAAGAUAUGGUGGAGGAGGAAUAGUGAACAAGCAGAAGAAGAAAAGAUAAAGUAAGCAGAAAACCUCCCAGGCACGAUUAUCGAAACAAUUUUUCUGAGCUCCCUUUCUGACGCCGGUGAAGCUUUGGCUCGCCGGCGUCGGGACACCUCUUCUUCCUUUAACUUGCAUCUCCUAUAUCUCUCGAUAAUCUUUGUUAGGCCAUUUUCUCAAUCAUCCCUAAACUCCAAUCUUUCAACGUGUUUCGAUGGCUCCGACCGAAUCUGUGACAGAGGACUAAGGCGGUCUCCGGCGACCUUCUCCCAGCCUUACCCUCUACUUAAUUCAAUUUCGAAAUCGAAGAAAGAAGUCCACACUUUUCCCAGCGGUGCUUUAUCUCACAAAUCGGAACCUUGCCUCAUCGAUCCGCCAAGAUACUCUAGCUCUCGACCUUUACCAGAAGGUUCCACGCACCAGCAGAUGUUGUUCAGCGUUCCAAUUCUUGGAAUGACUUCUCCGGUGAUGUUGGCGGCGGUGUACGGCAGAGCUCCUCAAACCAGAGGUAUGCUAGGGUUUCCUUUAUUGGACUGGACUCAAUUGGGCCCAAUUGACUAUAUCUCUCGGCCCAUUACCAAAAGUUGCAACCCAACUUCUCACUUUGCUUGGCCCAGGUCUGCUUUUCUUAAUUUUUUGCUUAGCCCAUCAUCUUUGACAUCUCGAUAUAGCGACUUGACUGGCCGAGGACUCCAACUAAGUCCUAUGUCGUUAUCAUUGCGAUGGGUGUGUAAUUAUAUUUCUCGAACCUUGGCCAUUUGCAAAUCUGCGAUUACUUCAUCGUUUCAUCAAAGCUUCAGGCUAAUCGAUUUGUUGUCUCUAGUUUCUAGAUAUGUUAACAGACUGAAGAAUAACGGCAUUAUGAUCUCCUCUCUAAGGAGAGGUGAUUACCGGAACUUCUUCAAUCUUUUUUCCAUGUUUCCUCUGAAUACCGAAUCCGAGCAAGUGUUAUCCUAUGAUUAUAAGGUUGAUAUUCAUGAAAUCAAAGGUUGGAGGAACUUUGGCAUUAUGAUCCCGUUCCCAUGGAACGGUGGUUACCAAAGCUUCCUCAACUUUUUACCUCCGAACCCGCCCGACGACAGAACCAGUUUAACUUCUCUCCUUGCUGAUGAGCAAAUCCAGCUCGCUAUACUCGUGCCGGCGAGAACCUCGGCUAUGGAACCCUAUUCAACGUCACUUAGUCUAUUGACCGUGACCAUCGUAUCGUCUAACGCUUCGUUCGUGGAUGAUUCUUCGACAAACCGUGUUAUCACUUGCACCAAUUUGCUUCAUUCCUUUGGCCUCCAAGCUCUCAUGGAUCCUUUGUCGAAUUACUUUUGCUAUCUAUGUGUAGCAUUUGCUUUAACCUUUGUUUGUUGUUGCUACUUUUUUUUAAGCCUUCUUAUCCUUGUACCUUUGGCUACUUUGAACCUUGUCUCGUUUGAAUGAAUGAAAACAAGUUGUUUGACAAAAAAAAAAAAGAUAUGGUGGAGGAGGAUAAGAAUAUGAUUAUUUAUAAAAUGAGAAAUGGUAAAAGUUACAUUUAAACAAAUAAUUUAAGUAAUUAAGUGAGUUACAAUUAUGGUAAAAAUAGUUUAUCUCAAAAUUCUAGUUUAAUAUAUAGUAAAUAUUGACAUAUGUAACUGAAAAAUAAUUAAUUAAUAGAGUUAUAAUUUUUUGUUAAAAAUAAUAUAUGUGGGAAAAUAAUUGGUGACCAAUUUUUUAAAUGAAGAAAUGUAGAAAGUCAAACUAAAAAUCAAUGAAGAGUUUAUAAGCAAUCAAGAGUACAUGUGUCACAAAAAUAGAAUGUCAAAUGUUGCAAUGUUAGGCAAAAUUAGAAAAAACAAUUUCAUAUUAUAUAAGACUAGGUGAGUAUCCGCUCUACGAGCGGGCUUUCUCUUUAUUUUUUUUUCUAAAUUAACAUUGAAUAUUUUUGUCGAUCAAUUUUUGUAUUUAUUAGAGUUAUAAAUAUUUAUUGUUUUAUACUUUGUAUUUCUUCUUUUAAAAUUUAUUUUAUAAACGUAAAUAUCUAGUAAUAAAUUAGGGGUGGGCAGAAACCUCAUCAAAAAAGUUGAACCUGUGAUUCAUUUUGGUUUCGGUUUUUUCCAAAAACUGUUCGGCUACAAAUAUAUAAAAUAAAUUGGUUUCGGUUCGGUUUAAUUUAAAACCAUAAAGCCAUUCGGCUUUUUUGCAAUAUUUUUUCCUUUUCUUGGUAAUAAAAGCUACAUGAAUAAAUUUUCUCAAUCUAAUGACAUUUGUUUUAGAAAGUUUAUAAUUCCUAUUAGAAAAUAAAAAAGAAAAAUCUUUGGAAGAUGAUAUAUUUUAUAAUAAUAUUAUGUUUAACAUUUAAUUGGUGAAGUAUGUUGGAAUGUACUCAUGGGUUCAUUGAUCUAAAUCAAAGAUGAUACAAUUUAAUAUAAAUAUUUAAUGUUUUUUAUUUUUUGAAAAAAUUAUGGAAUAAACAAAAAAUAACCGAAAUCGAACCAAACCAAAUUUUAUAAGGUUUUUAUGUGGUUUUCUAUUUUUUAUAAAACCAAUUAAUCGUAAGACAAAAAAACAAUUUGUUUUUUUAUAGAGAAAGCGAAAUUUUGUUUUCUUUUUUUAUUUAAUUUUGCUUCAAGCCAUUCAACUCAUAUUACCCGUAAGUUUAGAGGGGGUUAUUGGUUCAUUUGUUAUUCAAUCAUUGAUUUUACAAUCCUAAUUAAAAUUAUGUGUUAUUGGUUCUAUGGUUUAUAAAUAUUAGUUAAAAUCCUAUCUCAUUCGUUUAGUCAUUUGAUUUUGGAUUUCAAAAUCCAAAUUAAUUAUGUUUUAAAUGGAUUUGAAAGAAAAAAAUAGAAGGAUUCAAAUCCAUGGGUAAACACAUGUUAUUUCAAAACUCAUAUGUCUUGAUUUCAUAAUUACUAAAGAUUUUCAAAUCCUAUAGGGAUUUACAAAUCAAUAACUAAUAACACCCCCUAAGUUUCUGUCCAAUUCACUAUGUACUUUUAGCCUCUGUCUAGUUCACCACAUACUCUUCUUCAUCUUUAUAAUCACAUCUCUAUUAAAAAGUAAAAAUCUCAAUUCAAUUUUAUUACCUUAUCAUAACACCAAUAUCAAUUGAAUCUCAUACUCUUGAGCUACUUGCCAUCGAUGUAGUACCCUCAAUUCUAUAAGGCGAAACAUCUCUCCUUUUUUUUUGUUAAAGGAUUCUCAAGGCGAAACCUCUUAAUGAGCUAGAGACUUUAAUAUAUUUUGGAAUGAAUAUAGAUUGUUUUUUUGUUGAAGAAAACUCCAUCAGAAUAGAGAUAACUUGUCGUGAAUUUUUAAAAUGACUUUAGGAACAUGAAUCCAUUUCUGAAAAAUACAAAUGUUACUUUAUUUAGAAUUGAAUCAAGGUAAAAGCAAAGAAAGACAUCAUGUCAUGAUGAUACGAUGAACGGAAAUACAAGAUUGUUAUUCAUGCACAAGUACAUAAAGGGAAAGCAAUUCAAAUCACAAUAUUAUUAUUUCUUGAACUUGGUCUGUAGAUCCACAACAACCCUUGGGUCCAACUGGAACGCCUUUGCAAGAAUAGUUGGGUCUAUGGCUGGGUUAGCCCCAAACACGGUGUUGGCAAUAGUGAUGACACCAGGGUUUUGGCUGCUUAGAGCGGCGAAUGCAACUGCUGGUCCCUUGCCAAUGUUUGCUUGGAAAUGGAUUAGUCCCUCUGGAAACACAAAUACAUCACCCUCGUUGAGAACUUUAGUGAAGAGGCGAUUAUCCGGGUUUGAUGUGACAAACCCUACGAGAAGUGUUCCUUGUUCGACAACCAAGAUCUCCGUGGCACGUGGGUGGGUGUGAGGUGGGUUUUGUCCGUUAACCGCAUAGUCAAUACGAACAAGGGAGAUUCCAAGAGUGUUUAACCCGAGAAGGUUGUUAACAUUGACGGCUGUCACGGUCGACCCAACUGGACUAGUUACGGGUCUUGCAUUUUGAAGCCCUGAGAAAAAGAAGUCAUCUGCUGUGACGAGCUUCGGAUCCUUGCAGAACUUUCCAUUAACAAAAACUGAAAAUAAGAAGAAAGAGUGUGAUUAAGAUAUGAGAAAAUUUAUUAAAAAUUAUGAGUAAAAAUGAUUUGCAAUCAUCAUGUACAUACUUCCAUUUGCUGAGGUGUUGGCGCUGACACAAAAGUCUUGAAGUUGGCUUGGAUCAGAAGCAAUGGCCAAUGGAAGUGUUAAAGCCAAGAGAGAGAGCACUGCAAGAUAUGAGAGACUCUUCAUUGCCAUAAAAGAUAGAGGAAGGUGUUUUUGUUUCUUGAAUAAGAUUGUAUUGAAGAGAUAAGAAACUUAUGAGACAUAGACUUCACUUUAUAGAUGAGUUUACGUGUUGAACUAAUCCAAGAAAUUAAAUAAUGAACUUGAUAUUUGAAAUGGUUAAAAAAGUUUUUUUUUUUUCAACCCAUUAUGUUUAAUUGAAAACUCAAAUUAAAAUGUAUACAUAAAUUUCUCCAACGAAACAUGAUGCACUUGAAUUUUGAAAUGGCAAGUGUUAGCGAGAAUAUAUACAUAGUUCAGCAAAUUGUACGUUCAAAGAUUAGUUUGUUGAAUAAUUCUUCCCUCAAUUUGUCAUUUAUUUCACUGAGUCAAACAAAAGGUCAAUGCGAUCGUGUUGAACUAAUCCAAGAAAUUAUGAACCUGAUAUUUGAAAUGGUUAAAGUAUUUAAACUUUGUUUUCUUUAACACAUCAUGUUUAAUUGAAAUUCAAGAUAAUAAAAUAUAUAUAUAUAUAUUUCCAACGAAACAUGAUGUACUUGAAGUUUGCUAUACAUAGUUUAGUAAAUUAUACGUUUAUUAGUAUAUACAUAGUAAAAUUAAAUAUGAAUCAAUGUUUAGGAAAUUAACAUAUAUAGAUCGAAAAAAACUAAGGUGAUUUAAAAUAAAACAAAAAAAUAUCCUAAACAUCAAAAAUCAAAACAAAAUAAUUUUAUCGAAUAAUAAAACUGUGUAAUAAUAAUAUUUGAGAAUGUAUUUGGAAAUUAGAAUAGUAUUGGUAGAUUGAAGAGUUUUUCAUUAGAAAUAAAAAGGAUUUUGUUUUUUUAAAUAAAUAUAUUUUAAAAUUAGAAUAAUUUUUAUGAGUUCGUAAGUUUCACAUUUUAGAAAAAUAAACAUUAAGAAUACAAUCUAGAAUUAUAAUAUACGUUAAAUUAUAUAUGUAGAAACUGCAAAAUUUUACAUUGAAAUCAUAUGUUUGUGAAUAGGAAUGAGUCCAUAUAUGAGAUUUCUUGUCUAUAAAGCAAUUUUAGAUGCACCAAAACAUGGUAGAAAAAAAACUUAUGACAAACAUCUCCUCAGAUUUCUGUUUCUGAUGUUUACUUUAAUAAAAAGAUCAUGAAACUUAUAAAAAAAAAUUGAGUAUUUAAUGAUAUGAAGGAGAAAAUAGAAAUGAUCUAAGGAGAAAAGAGAGUAAAUGUCGGAACACGACGAGUGAAUCAUAGAAGAUAACGAGAAAAAUUGUAGUGAAAAUGUGAGAAAUUUUUUACUAUUUUGGAAAAGUAAUGCAUAUGGGUAAAAUAAAAUCUUUUAAAAUUCAAUUAAGUAUAUUUUUACUCAAAAUAAAAAUUUCAAAUUAAGUUCUGCGCAACGUGUGGAUAUACAAUCUACUCCCUCUGUUCCUCCAAGUUUGAUGUUUUACAUAGUUUAGCAGAUUAUACGUUAUAUGUUUAGUUUGUUGAAUAAUUCUUCCCUCAAUUUGUCAUUUAUUUCACUAAGUCAAACAAAGGGUCAAUGUGAACGUGUCGGGGUGUGUUAAAAUGUUAACGUUUUUGGUUUUGUUUGAUGAUAAGACACGACUAUAUAAACCAUAUAUAUAUAAAUGGAUGCUGGGAAUAGUAUAGAGAUAAUUAAGAUAUAAAUAAUGUUUUCAGAUAUAUCGGUUCUAGCUAGGCCUGGGUACAAGAUAAGUACUUGCUAUUUUUUAAGUAUUUGUGACUUGCUUUAGCCCGUACAAGUAAUUAAAAUUUCGGCUUGAUACUCGAUUUUUUUGAGCAAGUACUUGCUAUAAUAAGUACCCGUCCAAAAUCUUGUUACUUGCAAGUAACUUGACUCAGCUUGUUACUUGCAAGGUAAAUUGACUUGAUUUGGCUUGUUACUUGCAAGAUACUUGUUACUUGAAGUUUUGAACUAAAUGAUUUAAUUUAAAUAAAAAAACGAAUCUCAUACAUAUUAUAAUUCAUUCCGAAUUCUAAACAUCAUAAAAUCACCAAAUAUUAAAGUUCAAAACAUCAUGGAAUCACAACACAUUCAAAAUUCCAAAAGAUAAGCAUUUUAAAACAAUUUGGUUCAAACUGAAACCCUAAAAAAAGAGAAACUGUGAAAGACUUCUCCGGAUUGUUUUUUAUUGUUUAUUUGCUAUUGGAUUUUUAAAGUAGUUGGGUUAUUUAGGUUUAAUGGGCUUUAAGUUGUAACUAAUGUUAGCCCUUAUAGUUUUAGUUUAUAACAUUGGGCUUCAUAGUUUUAGUAAUUGGGUUUAAUAGUGGUUGGGCUUUAUAGUUUAAAUAUGUCUUAUAAUACAAAACGGGGCGAGUAACGGGGCAAGUAUCAAAACGGGAUGAGUAACGGGCCAAAUAUAAAAAAAAAUUAUGAUACUUGAUACUUGACCCUUACUUGCAAGUAAUAUAAUUUAUCUACUUGAUACUCGACUUGACUAUAGCGGGUAUUUGAAUUUUCAACGCGAGUACGAACCAAAUAGCGUGUACAAAACGGAUAGCGAGUACUUGUGCCCAAACCUAGUUCUAGCUAAAUCCAUCGUCGAGCACUAGCCAAAAAUAUGUGUCACCCAUGAAUUCUCCUCUUAUAGUCAUCAUUAUGAUUUCUUUCCAAUAUUUUUUUGGUUUACGUUUUAACAUGUAAAAACAUUACACACAUUCGAGUAAAACUAAAAUGUUUAACAAAUCGUUAAUGCGGAAAAUAGUAAGUGGGACAAAAAUAUAUCUUAUCAUCGGCAACAACCAUAUAUACGUCGUUUCCCUUUUAAUAUAAAACUUAUUUCCUACCUUAUAGACCCGAACCCGAUGAUAUCGGGGAUCCAAAGCAUAGUCGUCGGCCCAAUUAAUUAUUUGGGCCCACAAUAAUUUUUUCGUCCAAGUGAAAGAAGAUAAUCCACUAGAUUUGUUUUUUUUUUUUUCUCUCUCUUUUGAUACAAAUUGAACAAACAAGACGAAGAAGAAAAGACUAAACAAAAAUCAAAUCAAGUUAAUUAAAACCGAGUAAGAACUUCCUAGGCACGUGACUCGUCUUUAAUUAACUUCUUUAGCUAAAAGAUUAGAUUCUUCGUCCUUGACUCCUCAAGGCGAAACCUCUUUCUUUCUGUUUUUAUGGUAAAAGAUUCUCAAGGCGAAACCUAUCAAUAAGCUACAGACUUUAAUAUAUUAAUUUAGGAAUGAAUAUAGAUUUUUUUUUUUUUUUUGUUGAAGAAAACUCCAUCAGAAUAGAGAUAAUUUGCAGUCGUGAAUUUCCAAAAUGACAUUAGGAACAUGAAUCGAUUUCUAAAAACAUAAAAAUAUUAAUUUAUUUAGAGUUUGAUUAAAAGCAUUGACAAACAUUCAUGCCAUGUAAUGAUAAGCGGAUAAUACAAGAUCCUUAUUCAGCUGGAAGUACAUAAAAGAAAAAGCAACUAAAAGCACAAUAUUAUUAUUUUUUGAACUUGUUCUGUAGAUCCACGACAAUCCUAGGGUCCAACUGGAACGCCCUUGCAAGAAUACUUGGGUUAAUCGCUGGGUUAGACCCAAACACUGUGUUAGCAAUAGUGAUGACACCAGGGUUUUGGCUGCUUAGAGCGGCGAAUGCAACCGCUGGUUCCUUGCCAAUGUUUGCUUGGAAAUGGAUGAGUCCCUCUGGAAACACAAAUACAUCACCCUCGUUAAGAACUUUAGUGAAGAGGCGAUUAUCCGGGUUUGAUGUGACAAACCCUACGAGAAGUGUUCCUUGUUCGACAACCAAGAUCUCCGUGGCACGUGGGUGGGUGUGAGGUGGGUUCUGUCCGUUAACCGCAUAAUCAAUACGGACAAGGGAGAUUCCAAGAGUGUUUAACCCUAGAAGGUUGUUAACAUUGACGGCUGUCACGGUCGACCCAACUGGACUAGUUACCGGUCUUGCAUUUUGAAGCCCUGAGAAAAAGAAGUCAUCUGCUGUGACGAGUUUCGGGUCCUUGCAGAACUUUCCAUUAACAAAAACUGAAAAUAGUAACCAAAACGAUAGAGUGUUAUUAAGAAAUGAGAAAAAUUAUCAAAAAUAAAAGUAAAGUGAUUAGGAAAUCUAUAUGUACAUACCUCCAUCUGCUGAGGUGUUGGCGCUGACACAAAAGUCUUGAAGAGGGCUUGGAUCAGAAGCAAUGGCUAAUGGAAGUGUUAUAGCCAGGAGAGAUAGAACUACUAGAAAUGGGAGACUCUUCAUCGCCAUAUAGAGAUUCUUCGAAGAGAGGAAGGUUUUUUGUUUUCUUGAAUUAAAUUGUAGUGAAGAGGUAAGAAACUUAUGACAUAUAGACCUCCAUUUAUAGAUGAGUUUACAUGUUGAACUAGUCUAUACACUUGCAGAUCCAAUCAGUUAAAUAAUGAAAUUGAUAUUUCUCCAACGAAACACGAUGCACCUGAAGUUUGAAAUUAAUGGCAUGUGUUAGCGAUAAUACAUUAUGUAUAGUUCAACAUAUUAUUCGUUAAAGGUUAAGUUUGUUGAAUGAUUCUUCCCUCAAUUUGUCAUUUUAUUUUACUGACUUGAACAAAUUAAUGGUCAAUGUGAACGUGUUGGGUUUUGUUUAAUUUUUCUAGAUGAUAAGACACGACUGUAUCAACCAAAUAUAUAUAAGUAGUUAUUUUUUGGAGAAUAGUUUACUCUCUUUACUCUUUGACUUUCUUCUUUGUUGGCUAAAAAGUUUACAUUGUAAACGAGAUAAAUGGUCUUUUAGACCUAAGCCAGUUAGCAGAAAUUAGGAAAAAAAAAUCAGGAUUAUUACAUUGUAAAGAUUAUUACAUUGUAAUAAUGUACUGUGGUUAAAUUACAUUGUAAAGAUUAUUGCCAAGUUCAAAAGAGAUCAAUGCAGUUUUGCCACCAAAUAUUUUCAGAGGCUGUUCUCGUAACUAAUCGAACAGAUUUGUGAUUGUAUUUGAAUCAUAUUUAACUGUUCAUAACAUUUGAUAUGAACAUGAUUUCAACAAAGGAUAUGACAUAUGCUGAGUUAAACAUGAUUUGAUGACCAAAUGGUAUGACAACAUUAUUUUUCUAUGUAUAGCGGUUUUCGACAUCAACAUAAAAAAAUUUGGUUUCUCCAGAAAAUGAUUUCUUAAAUCCGAAUAUUUAUUUGGAUGAAAGACUAAAAGUCUAAAUGAGACAAAUAUGUGUCUCAUUCUCAAGAAUGACAGGUCACGGAAAAUGUCAGAGCUAGUUAUGCUCUAUAAUGUUGAAAAAAAAUCUUAUGUUCAAAGUUUAGAAAAAUUCUCCCAAGAUUAGUCUUGUAGAUCCAAUCAACAUUUGCAUCUGGAAGGUUAAUAUAAGAUAAUGUUCUUACCACUUAUGAGAUGUUCUAUGUACUCCGCCCAACUAAUCUUGCAAAACAAAAUUUAUGACUAAUAAGAGCAUGUGCAGUGUGGUGAGAGAUUUAAAUAAAGCUCUCAUAAAAUAAUAUUAUUAUUUUGUGUGUACUUUAUUAUGAAAACUUUUUACAGAUAUUUUAUUUCCAUUGGUGAGUCUCUCACCAAAAAUCUCUCACUAAUAUAAUAAUUAUUUUUUCAAAAAAAAGUACAAUAUUUAUUGUAGUUUAUUAUUUGUAAUAUAAUUUAACUUGAAAUUAUAUUUUAUAUUUUAUUUUAAAUUAAAGAUUUUUAAAUAAUAUCUUUAAAUUAUAUAUAUCAAAUUAUAUUUUAAAUAUAUUCAAUUUUAUGAAUUAGUUAUAUUCCCUUGUUUAUAUAAUCUGUAAUAGUAACAAUAAUAAAACCAUAAAUAUUAUUAAUUAAAAAUAAAAUUAAAUAACAUAAAUUCUUAAAAAAAAUUAAAAUGCAAAAAAUACAUAAUAACAUAUAAAACCAUGAUCAAAGAUAUAAUAAAAGAGAUGAAGUCUCUAUAUAUAGGGAACAAUUUUUUUUUUUGGUCAACAUAAUAAACUAUUAUAAUAUAUAAUUUUAUAACUAUCAAAAUAUAUUUUAAAAUUUUCGAAUCUCAGAUAUUUUAGUUAUAUAUUUUAAAUAAGCGUUUUAACAAAAAUAAUAUUAAAAUUUUAUUAUUAUAAUUUUAACUAAUAUUAAUUAAAAUAAUAUUAAUAUAUAAUUUAAAAAUUCAUGCAUAAUGGAACUUGUUAGAUAGGUAAUUUUAUUUUAUGAUUUCUAAAAAAAAAUAAAAGAAAAAUAAUAACAUAUAAACUAUUUAAUUAACUUUUAAAUUAUUAGGUAUUUGAUUUAUCCUAAUAAAAUUUAAACCAUUUACAAAAUGACAUCUAUCCCAUAUAAGAGGCUCUCAUGAGGUUCUCAAAGUCCCUCAUAUGAGAAUCGAAUCUCAUGCACUUUUUAGCUAAAACAUUAAUUUAAUAUUUUUUAUUGUUUUUAAUUGUGAAAGACUUAUUGAGAGACUAUAAUCAUGCUCUAAGCAUUAUUAAAUUCUGCCUUAGCUCUAUCAAUGUGACACAUCAAUUUACUUUAGUAUUAAGUUUUAAUCAAUGGAAAAUACAAAGAAAUAUUUACCCCCAUAGAAACCUUCACCAAAGCAAUCGACUUAUUUAUUAAUGUAUGGAAGUUCUAUUGCUAAUAUCCGUACGACAAAAUGGAAGAUAUGCUAAAUGACAUUAGGUUACUCGAGAGAGUAUUAUUUCUUUCUCAUGCAUACGUUAUUAACAUAUGAUAUCAUUUUUUUCGCAAAGCAGAAGAACCUCAAUGUAAUUUCAUACUUGAAAUAAUCCGAAAAUGUGGGAAGGCGUUCUGAUAAGUUUGGAGGAAACCUUAGUAGUAAAAUAGUUUCUCUCUCAAUUUUAUUCAUUAGCCAAUAUGCUUAUUUAUACAAAUAUCAUAACUUAAUUAACAAGUUCUUUACAUAUAUGAUAAUAGAAAAUCUACUAAUUUAAUAAUAAGAAUAUAUUAUACAAAUGUUAACUUUCCUUUCAAGUCGAUCUCGUAAUCCCCGAGAUCUCCUAACACCCUCCCGGCCCGCAAACUCAUACGUGGUAACAUGUAUGAGAUUGGACAAUCAUCUUCACGGUCUUCAUACCAACUAUAGGGUUAUCAAUGGCGUUUAUAACUCGCCAUAAGGUCAUCAAUUCAAUGGAGGAUACUUUAAUAGUUGUGUAUCUCCAACGAUUUUAGAUCGCAAGUCUUGGUUGCUUUUCGAACUUCUUGUUCAUGAAGAAACUUGUGUAGUAGUCAUGGUCGAAUUCGAAUUCGUCACCGCCGGAUCAGCAUCGUAUCCGUCAGAAUCAUUUUCGUGGCUUCCAUCUUUUUCGUAGUUAGACGAAAAACCACAUGAAGACCAGUUAAAAACCAAACAUAACCAUAUGGUUUUGUUGGUCAUCAUCCUUACCAAAGUAAAUCGUUUGUUUAUAUCAUCUUUUGUAGUGAGUGAUAUGAACAACGUCUUCUUCUUCAGGAUUUCUUCUUCUUCAAAUAACUAGCAAGUUUUGCUAAUUAAUAAAAAAUCAAUCGAGGUCAUUAACUGACCCAAUUCAACAACGUAAUUCACCGACAUGAUGAACACGUCUCUCUUCUCUUUUUUUUUUUUUUUAUAACAAAUAAAAUCUAUACUAUAUAAAAGUCGAGGCUAUAAGCUCCUGAGGCCGUCCACGUAAGGUUUUAAACGACCAAUCGGGAUUGGACAUGCAUUAAUUAACAUAUUUUGAUUAUGAUAAUUUUCUAUAUUAAAGUUUUAGUAAAAAGGAAAAGAAAAACAAUAAGAGAAAUAUUUGAAAAUAUAGAAAUAUUUCUAAUUAUAAUCUUGUGUUUUUUGAAAAUAUAGAAAUAUUUCUAAUUAUAAUCAAAAUGUCAAGUUUUAAUUUUUAAAGAUUAUAAAUUUAUAUAGAAAUAUCUAAAAAUAUGAAACAAUUCUGAAUAUAAAUUUUGUUAUCAAAUACAUAAAAUGAAAAUAAUAAAAAAUGUAAAUAUUUUUUGACAUUAGUUAAUAUUUUUUGACAUCACGUUAAUUAAAUUAUAAAAUUAUAAUAUUUUAUAUAUUAAUAUAUUUAUGAGAAAAGAAAAAAAAAUUAUAUAUGCAAAGAAUAUAAAUGUCAACUUUUGAAAAACAACAUAUGGAAAUAAGAAAAUCAAAAUAUACAAGAAAAAGUAAAUUUUUGAAAAACAAUAUAUGGAAUACGUUAAACUUAUAUUCUUAUUUUGUUAAUUUGCUAAUUUUCCAACAAAAAAAAAGAAUAUUGACAAAAAACAUAUUCGAUUAACUCUAGAUCUUUUCAAUAUAAAUAAUAACCGGAGGCAUCUGAUUUGAUUAUAAUUUUUAAGCUAUAUAUUUCAAGCCGUUAGUAACAAUUAGGGUUGGUUAGUACUUUUAAUGGUAAAAAAAGUCGAGGCUAUAAGCUUCUGAGGCCGUCCACAUGGGAUUUUAAACCACCAAUCACGGUUAGACAUGUCAUUAGUUAACGUUUUUGAAAUUAUUAUUAUUUUCUAUUUUUUUUUAAGAUUUUUGUAUAAAUGGAAGAAGCAACAUAUAUAAAUAAGAGAAAUAUUUGGAAAUAUGGAAAAUUUUCUAAAUAUUUUGUCAUCAAAAUACAUAAUAUAAAAAUUAUCAAAAUGUAAACUAUCUUUUUUUAAGUUUAUACAAUUUUAAACGAAAUACAGAAUUUAUUUUUAGUCUUACUACAUUUAUUAGUAAUUUAUCUUCAAUAACAAUAGCCAUUUAAUCACAAUAGAUAUCUCAUUGAACGAUAUUUUAAAAAUUUAUGACUUUUAUUUUAAAAGUAUUUAAAGUUAGAAAAAAAAUACGACAAUAUAUUGAAGCAAGAUGUAUAUAAAUUUUGUUAUUAUAAUACAUAAAAUAAUUCAUAUUAAUCUCAAAAAUUUGAUUAUAUUGUCAUAUUUUCUAAACAACCAAUCGUAAUUAGUCAUCAUUAAUUAACAUUAAUUGGGAUAACAAUAUUUGAAUUGUCGGUAACAGUUAGGGUUGGUUACUACUCUUUAUUAGGGAUAACAAUAGCCCACAUUGAAAGUUGAGUAAAAUCUUAAAUGCUAUAUAUAAGAUAUGGACAUCUCCACUCAUACUCAAUUGGUUUUGAGUUCGAAGCCCAAAGUCUAAUAUGGUAUCAGAGCCCGAUCCGCAAAUGCUCAACCCAAUCCACAUCGGCCUAACCAAGUAAUUGGUCCGCCUAUCCAUGCCCGAACAUACCGAGAUCAAUGGGUAAAAGAGCCAUCAUCUCGAGCGGGCGUAUAAGGGAUAACAAUAUCCCACACUGGAAGUUGAGUAGAAUCUUAAGUGGUAUAUAUAAGAUAUGGGGCUCUUCACUCAUAGCCAAUGGGUUUUGAGUUGGAAGCCCACAGUCUAAUACUCUUAAUGGUACAUAUUAUAUUUUUUCCAUCGCUUUUGCCACUUGAAACAAUAUUUGGACUUCUAUUUUUUUUUUCCUCUCAUACUCACAAUUUAAUAUAUUUAUCUUUGCUUUUGUCGCUAAUAAGUCAUAACCAUGCUUUUAUGCUAAAAUGUUAAUAUAUAUAUUAUGAUUUUUUUUUUAUUCUCAUCAUUGAUUGUUACGAACGUUUUUUUUGUGUGUGUAUGAUUCACUCGACAUUACAUCCACACCUAAUGGAUCUAACUUUCCUCCUUCCGAGACGCUAUAUCCCAUAGAGAUUAACAACUUUAUUACUUGCAUGUCUGCACCACCACCUAACAUAUUAUGCUUCUGUUUGUUAGAUUGUUUGUCAUUUGAGACUGUAAGUAGUUUUUAUUGUUUUGGUGAGAGUAGAACCGAAAGAGUCCAGCUAAGUUUGUGAAUGGUAGAUGUGCUAAUGGAAUAGAGAAUGAAAUAAAGGAAAGGAGUGCUUGCAAAAAGAUAGAAAGAGUGAUACCUCUCCGGAAAAAAAUUGUGAACACGAAAAUUCAUAUACAUAUUGAAAAGAAUGUAAAAAAAUAUGAAUUGUUAAAAAUAAAUUAUAGAUAAGCUUAUGAGUACAGUUCUGUAUAGAAUCUUAUAUUUAGAAGAGCUACACUAACCAAUACAAUGAAGAUAGACGAAGAACAAUAUUGAAUUUGCGUAUACCAAAAUGAGAAAGCCGUCGAAGUUAGUCCCCAUACAAUAAUAAAUCUAGAAAAGUGGUGGUUGCGGUGAGAGUUGAGGAACAUACAUGUAAGACCGUGCAAGGAAGCUCUCUUGGGAAAAGUGUCUAAGCCAAUAUUGUGAAAGAUGUCUAUGGCUAAUGAGGUAACUUAUUGCGUGGUUCUUUUUUGAAACUUAGGUUGUAUAUUUUUUCAGUUGGAUGAUAUCUAACCAAGAAAAAGUAUGAAGACUUGUGUUGAAAUUAUGGAAAAAGUUUUUCUUCUUAGAGUACCAAUUUCAAUCAAAACAUGAAUUAGGAAGACGUAACAAAAGUAAUAAAUUUAAUUGAUGAGAUCAGUUUCCUUGCAUUAUGAACAAUUAACGUCAGAAUUUAGGUAAUAAGGGUUGAUUUCCAUGUAAAAAAAUAAAAGAGAAAGAGAGAAAUGCGGUUGACACCAUAAGACAAACUUGGAUUAUCAAAUAUGGAAAGAAAGUGAGAAAACAGUUAUGACAUGACCUCUUUAUGGCAACAUUUUGUUUAUAUGUAGCUGAAACUUGAUGGCGAGGUUUCUCACUGUGUUGGGAUGAGCCAUUUUUAUAUAAGAGAUGCUCUGAUGAUCUUUUUAGGAUGAAUGAGGUAAUUGUUAAAAUAUUAUAAUUGCUUUACUAAUAGCAAAAUCUUGAAUAAUAUAAAACAAGUAAGAGAUAAUGACACAUCAUAUUUGUAAUAUAUUUUAUACCAAAUUUUAUCCCAUAAAACUUUUUUGCUUAUUAAAACAAAAUUUUAAAUAACGUAAAUGAUACUAAAAAUAUAAAUAAGAACAUUUAUGUUAAAAAAAGAAUAAAUAAUAAAUAUUGUAGUAUUCUUUUAUUAGUAAUGUCAAUGUAUAUAUAGCUACUUAAAUAAAUACUAAAACCAAAAAUAUAUUAAAUCAAUCGAUAACAACAAACCCCCGCUUAAUCCCUAGUAGAAAUAAAAGAAAAUCAAUGAAGUGUGUUUGAUUUUCCUAAACAAAGAAACGAAGCUUAAAAACUUUUUUUUUUUUUUCAAACGCGGAAGCUAAUGUAAAAGAACUAUAACCCACAUGAAUAUGAUCAAAGCUCUGAUACAAUGAUAAGUUUGGAGGAAACCUUAGUAGUAAAAUAGUUUCUCUCUCAAUUUUAUUCAUUAGCCAAUAGGCUUAUUUAUACAAAUAUCAUAACUUAAUUAGCAAGUUCUUUACAUAUAUGAUAAUAGAAAAUCUACUAAUUUAAUAAUAAGAAUAUAUUAUAUAAAUGUUAACUUUCCUUUCAAGUCGAUCUCGUAAUCCCCGAGAUCUCCUAACACGUUCCGACAAUAAAUUAACUUCUUUAAAUCAUCAGUGAUAUUUAGGAAGAGUCUAUCUUGUUAAAUUAUUUAGGAAGAGUUUACCUUGUUAAACAAUUUUUUUUUUUUUUGUGACAGAUCUUUCGCAACACAAAGGAGGGCGAAGGACGAUUUUGAAAAUGUCAAAGAGAUUUCAAAAGUCCAGCAAUUGAUCCCUAUGCAUCGUGGAAGAGAAUCCGAAAUCAACUUGAUUCUUAGCUCUGUACUCUCAAGAUUUGGAUUUUUCUCUCUCAAUGCUUAUUCUCUCUCUUUAGAUACAAAUUGAACUGAUAAGGAGAGAAGAACAUAAAUAAACAUCAAAGUAAGUUAGUCAUAUGUUCGUUUGUACAUAUGGAUACAUCAUCUAGAUGAUCAAGUCAGAUGAUUCAUCUGGAUGCAGAUGAUAGAUGAUGUUCGUUUUUGAUAAUUUUAGGGAGCAAUUAGAUGGAGUUGGGUGAAUUUUAUAAAACUCAUCUUGAAAAUGUGUUAAAUCCGGCUGAGUCGGCUAAAGGAAGUUCAGCCAAAACUAAAAAAUAUCUAAAAUACCCUUGCUUAAUUUAAAGAAUUACAACAAACCUUAUCUUCUUCAUCCUCUCUGAUUAUAUUUAAAGAAUUACAACAAAAACUUAUGUAUGUUCAAUUAUGUUUUACGAUAUUUAGCUCUAGCUACGUGAGCCCGCAUCUUGUUUGUUAUUGUUCUAAAAUCACUAGAUUUUAACCCGCGGUACACCGCGGGAUGAUUUAAUUUUAAAGUUAGUAUAAAAAUAUUUUGUAAAUUGUAUCUCCUUAUAACAUAUAUUUAUAUUAUAGUUUACAAUUGUUAUUAAUAAACUGAGGAUUUAACCCGUAUUAAAGCGGUAUAUAAAUAUUGAUUCAAAUUCGUCCGCCAUAUAAAUCAUUUUCGAAAUAUAACCCAUUCCGUAAUUUCUUAACCCGUUCUGUGAUUUGUAUUAAAAAAAAUAAGGAUUAAAUCCGUAUUGAAGCGGCGGAUUAAUGAUAUUUUAAUCUUUUUAUUAUUGUUGAUUCAAAAACCCGUCCCGCCAAACCCAUCCCGCCAAAAAACUCAUUUAUUUUAUUAAUGUUCUUAUUUAUGAUAUGAUUCUGAAUCAUUGUCUAAAUAUUUUAAUCGAUAUAGAACGUUGAACACACAUUUUCGUCAAUUAGAUAAUAUAUGUCCGUUUUUAAAAUUUCGAAUCACAGUAUAUGUAGAAAAAAAUUGAUUUUUUUUUUUACUUUUUGUAUUAUAUGAUGAUUCAAAACAGUUAAAAACAAAUCAAACAAAGAUGAUAGGAGAAUCAUAAUUAUAAAUCUUAAUCAAAUCUUCUAAAAAUCUAAAUUAUUAAAUAUGGAAUAUCCGGUGUAUGAGUUGGGUUAAAUAUAACCCGACCCAACAAAUUUUUUGUGAAAGAAUUUUUAAAAUGGAUCGGAUAUCCGAUAUACCCGAAAGCUUUUUUACCCACCCGUCACAAAAAGUGCUGCGAUUAUACUAGUAUAGAUAUAUAUGAAAGUUGGUAAACUCUCUCCAUCCUUUUGCCACGUCGGCAAUGGAGAGAGUGUCACAUGUCAUAUCAGCAUAUUAUAUUUAUUAUUUAAAAUUAUUUAGUUAAGAAUUUAAAUCAUGCAUUAAUUCUUACUUAUAUAAAAAUUGACAUAUAUUAACUUAUUAACCAAGUAAUUUCAAUUUAAUUAGUUACAAAAGUAUAUUAAAAUCAUAUAGAAAUUAAAUUAUUUAAAAUUUUCUGUAUAAAUUGUAUAAACUUAUGCAUAAACAUAAAAUCAAUGGAAUUUUAAUUAAACUUUAGAUUUUAUUAACGUAUAAAACUUAAAUAAUAUGAUAUUAGAAUUUCUUUCAUGUUUUCAUAUACUAAAAUAUACUCCCUCCGUUUCAAAAUAUAAGGCAUUUUAGCUAAAAGCACGCCGAUUAAGAAGAUCUAUUUUCUAAGUUUAGCCAGUCAUAAAAGAGACUGCAUAAUAGAAGUAAUCAUAAAAUAUUAAAGUAAUAUAUAAUUUACAUAGAAACUUGAAAACGACUUAUAUUGUUUAACAAAAAAGUUUAUCCAAAAUGCCUUAUAUUUUGAAACGGAGGGAGUAUAUAGGAUUAGUGACAAUGAAUAUUAGUUGAAUUUAUGGUUUAUUUUAAGGUAAAUAUAAGAUACUAAAUAAAUACUACUUUUUCGUUUAUAUAAAACUAGAUAAGGCCCGCGUAAAUACGCGGGUUAGAAAAUAAAAUAAAUAUAAUUUUUAUCGAUAAUAUAUAAAAUCUAAGUAAUAACCUAUAUAAUUUUUUGAUCUUAUAUAUGGUAAUUUUUUUAAAUCAGAUUUGAACCUCACAUAUUCUUUUCCAAUACAAUUUAACUAUCUAUACCAUCAUAAUAAACCAUAAUUUAAUAUUUAUGCACUUAAUGAAUUAGAGCUAAAAAAUUAUAUCAAACACAAUUUAUACAUAAUAUCAAAUUUAUAUCUUUUUUUGACAUCAAAUCUAUAUCUUAGUUAGAAUAAAAAUAAUUUAGAAAUUAACAAAACAAAAUUAUUAGAAAAUUAAAAUAUAAUUCACAAAGAAAAUUGGAAAUCCAACAAUUAUCUUUUCUUCGUUUUAAUUUGAUAAUUAAAAAAAUAUUUAUUUACCUUUUUUAAAUCUAAGUAUAUAUUUUAGAUUUGGAAUUUUUCAUAUUUAUGUUAACAUAAUGUCAAAAUCUAAUUGGUUGUAAUUUUUUACACUUGUCAAAAUCUUAUUGAAAUACUUGCAACAUGUCGCGAUCUUAUGAGUUAUUAACUUUGAAAACCAUAUUUUAUAUAAUAAGAUUACUUUUAAGAUAACAAAAUAUAUAUUAAAUUUGCUUUUAAGGUAAGUAAUUGUAAAUAAGUGUUAAACAAUGUAAUUAAAAAACAAAAAAAUAGAAUUAAUUAUUUACUCGAGAGUUAGAGGAAUACAUCAAAAUGAUUAUUAGCAAAAUAAUACCAAAAGGACUAUUUAUCAAAUUAACUCAAUCAAUGUAAAUUGCUAUGACUGACAAAUUAUGCAUAGAAAAACCCGCACGUUGUGCAGGUAUUAGCUAGUCUAAAUUAAUUGUCGUUUCCUUAUUCUCAUGCUCUUGUGUGUUGGAAACCUUUAACCCCACUUGAAGCUAAAGUCUCAAGCUUUAAUUACCUUUUAUUCCAUGUGGAUUUAAUGUUUUCCUCAAAAAAUAUCUCAUCUUUUUUCCAAUCCCAAAGAGGGACAGUGCUCUAUGCCUCUAACUAUCUACAUCUAUACAUCGUAUUAUUUGGUUUAGCCUUUAUUCGCAACGAACAACACUUUACUUGGUUUAAAACCGAGUAAGAACUUCUCAUGCACAUACUUAACAUUGAUACCAAAAAAAAAAACUUCCGAUGCAUGCUAAAACCAUUAGUCUUCUUCCUUAACUCCUCAAGGUGAAACCUCUCGAUGAGCUAGAGUCUUUAAUAUAGAUAUAUUGUAGCCUUGUAGGACACUUAUUCUUCACAAAUGUUUUUAAAUUUGUUGUAACAAAGUAGUACGACUCGAUUAAUUAAUAACAUAAUUAAGUGAUCGUAAAUUCAUCACAAAAUUAUUUUUCGUCGAUUUCCAAAUUUAAAAACACGAAUCCUUUUUUAAAGACAUAUAUAGUUUUAUUUAGAAUUAGAUCAAGGUAAAAGCAAUGACUAAAAUCAUGCCAUGUUAUGAUAAGCGGAUAAUACAAGAUCCUUAUUUAGCUGAAGGUACAUAAAAUGAAAGCAAUUCAAUGCUUAAUAUUAUUAUUUUUUGAACUUAGUCUGUAGUUCCAUGACAGUCGUAGCGUCCAACUGGAACGCCGUUGCAAGAACAUUCGGGUCUAUUGGUGGGUUAGACCCAAACACGGUGUCGGCUAUAGUGAUGACCCCUGGGUUUUGGCUGCUCAGACCAGCGAAUGCAACCGCGGGAUAUUUCCCAACGUUCGCUUGGAAAUGAAUGAGUCCCUCUGGAAACACGAAUACAUCACCCUCGUAGAGUACUUUAGUAAAGAGCCGAUUGUCUGUGUUUGACGUGACAAACCCAACUAAAAGUGUUCCAUACGCGACAUACAAGAUCUCGGAGGCACGUGGAUGGGUGUGAGGUGGGUUCUGUCCGUUUAUUGCAUAAUCAAUACGGACAAUGGAGAUUCCAAGGGUGUUUAACCCUGGAAUCUGGUUAACAUUGACGGGUGUCACAAUAGACCCAGUUUUUGGAUUAGGUGUUCUUGGUUUGUUAAUCCCUGAGAUAAAGAAGUCAUCUACUGUGACGAGCUUCGGGUCCUUGCAGAACUUUCCGUUCACAAAUACUAAAAAUUAUACCCAAAUAAAAAAGAUUGUUAGACCAUCUCCAUCCAUUAGACACUGUGUGGGUGUCUCAAAAAUAUUAUUUUAAUCAUUUUAUAAUAAAUAAGUUAUUUAUUUAAAUUAUAAAAAGAGAAUUUGGCCAAUAAUAAAAAGACAAGUGGAGACACAGAUUCUCAAAGUUUCUCAAAACAGAAACGUGUCUACAUUUUCUCCUACAUUUUUAUUAUUUUUUAUUUUUUUAAUCUUGAGACAUUCCUCAAGACACUACUGUUGGAGAUGCUCUUAGAACGUAAUGUUUUCUCCUAUAUCGGUUAUAUGUAUUAAAAAGUACAUUAAUAGUUAUGUUAAUCUAAAGACUUUCUACUCUUUUUGUGUUGGGUUGUUGAACCAUAUAUAUAUAAGGAGUCUAGGGUUUGUAAAGUUUAUUAUCAUAUUAAUAAAAGAAACCUUAGACAAAAUGUAUUCGCUUCAAGAUAUUUAACGUUUUCUCUAUUAUUUACCCGAAAUCACACAAGUUAAAAAUGAUUAGGGAGUGAACAUAUACAUACCGCCAUAAGCUGGGGUGUCCACCCCGACGCAGAAGUCCUGAAGAGGGCUUGGGUCUGAAGCCUUGGUUAAUGAAAGUGUUAUAGCCAAGAGAGAUAGAAUUGCAAGAAAUGAGAGACUUUUCAUGGUUAUAUAUUAGUUGAAGCAAUUCUUCGAAGAGAGGAAAGGUUUUUGUUUAGGAUUUAAUGGAGAGUUGAUAAACUUAUGAGACAUAGAUCUCAAUUUAUAUACAAGUUUAGGAGUAGAACUAGUCCGUAUAAAUGAUGAAAUUGAUGUUCGAAAUGGGUAAAAAAUUAUCUAAAUUGUGUUCCCUCCACAAACUAUGUUUAUGGUGAUAAUAUUUAAAUUGAAACACGUAAGAUUGGAAUAAAAAAUAUAUAUAUAUCAAUGAAAUAUGAUGCAUUUGAAGUUUGAAAUGGCAAGUGUUGGUGAUUAACAAGUUAUACAUAUCAAAGUUUUGUUUAAUAAUUCUUCGUCAACUUGUUAUGAAUUACACUUGUUCACUUUAAUAAUCUUUAAAGGUGUUGUCAGCGCCAUGCUCGGGAGGGGAGAAAUGGCGUUUUUCAACCCGAACAAAUUGUAAAAUGCGUUUUUAUACCUCAACAAAGAUACAAUGUUUUUUUCAACCUCAACUCUAAAAACAUUCAAAACAACUACCCAAACUAUUAGAUUUUAGCGUAAAACUACAUUGACUUAUACAAAAUUAGUCAACUCAUUAUUUUCGCUCAUUUAGAUGACACGAUGACGACGAUGUAUCAUUUUAUCUUAACUAAAUGACGUUAUUUUAAUCAUUUGAAUCCAUAAACUCAACCAAACAACGUUGAUUUGGUCAUUUGAGUCUAUAAACUCAAUAAAGCGACGUUGUUUAGUUAAGACAAAAUAAUAGUACUGAUAAAGAUAAAAUAACACUUCGUUGUCAUCGUGUUGAGUUUAUGGAUUCAAAUGACCAAAAAAAUGUUACACUUCGUCACUAUUGUGUCGUUUAAGUGAGCAAAAACAAACGGUUGACUAAUUUUGUUUAAGUCAAUGUAGUUUUACGUUAAAAUCUAUAGUUUGGGUAGUAUUUUUGAAUUUUUGUAGAGUCGAGGUUGAAAAAAGCAAUGUAUCUUUUUGAGGUAUAAAAAUGCACUUUGUAAUUUGUUCAGGUUGAAAAAUGCCCUCCGAGCGGUUGUUUUACUUAAUAUUGUUGUGGUCAGUUAUUUGAGCAAUGAACAAACAUAAGAAAAAUAAUAAUAUCAAAGAAAAAAGCAAACAUAAAAUUAAACUAAGCAAACAAGAUUUAAAAUAUAAAAUUAUUUUUUUUAUUGAAUAACGUAAAAGGGUGGAAGCAUCCGUGAUCCAUUGGUCAUGUGUUUAAAAGGCUUCUACACCAGGUGUACGAUUUGAAUCCCAGAUAACGCAAUUUCUUACAAAUUAUUGGUACAAAAUUUAUCAGAGGUUCCAGAAUACAUUGUAGGCAGAGUCAUAUGUAGAAUGGUAUGUCGUGGAUCGGAGUAUUGCAGGGAGAGUUGUGUCGUUGAAUCGAUAUUCAUGGAAACUGUUAAUCGUUAUCGCAUAUUUGGCUGGUAGUCUAAAUAAUUUUGGCUAGUGAAUUUCAGGAAAAUUUUGGAGUCCCUACUUACAUCAUAAUAAGAUUAGAUCAAAUAUUUUUUUAUGAUGAUGUCACGUAUAGCAAAAAAAAAAGAAUAACGGAUAUACACUUCAAUUAAGGCUUUGUCAAAGAUUCUUACAGAACAUCAAACAAACAUUGCUCACCCCUAAGCAAGUGUACAUUAAGUGUUGCCAAACAUAAACCAAAUUGUAAACGUGAUUGCUCACCGCUAAGCAAGUACGUACACAUUAGUUGUUGGUUUUGUUGAAUUAAUCUUCGGUCAACUUGUCAUUUAUCACACUUGCUGCUAUUCAUUGACUUGAACAAAAGGUCAAUGUGAAUUUGUUGAGAUAUAAUAAAAUGUAUAAAUAAAUAAAAAGUUUUGUUUGAUUGUUUCUGUACUUGAUAAAACACGUACGACUAUGAGUCUAAAUAGUAACAUCAAAAAAAUAUUCAGCUGGAUUCAGUCCGAUUCAGCAAUUCCGCAGUCACCAUUUGCAUAAAACUAAAUUCAGCUGAAUUCAGCCAGAUUCAACAGUUUUUUUUUAAUACUAACAGAUAUGUAGAUACAGUCAUUUCUGGUAAAAAUUUGGAUAAUAACGUGUACACACAUCGAAUUGAUAUAUUUUGGAUUAUCAAAAAUUACACAUCAAAUUUAUAUUUUAAAAUAAAUCAGAUUAUACAGAUGCGAUAUAUGAAUAAUUCAAAUACAUAAAACCACUAAUAAAAUAGGCAAGAAGCGAAUUCAUGUUCGGAUAACUAUAGAUGAUUUUGGAUAAUUUUAUUAAUUUUUAGAUAAUUUAAAAUAAUUUAAAAAUUUCAUAAAAACAACUCACACCUAUGCUAAAAUAUUAUUUAAAAUAGAUUUUUUAAUAAUUUUCUUAAUUUUUCAGGUCAUAUUAUUGAUUAAACUACUAGAUAACAAUUAAAAAAAAAACUCAAUUAUAUAAUCUUAUUAUAUUAUCAUGUUAAUUUUUUAAAUUAAUCUUCCAAUAAUGCUUUGACAAAGCUUCUUUCAUUAAUUAUUUACAUAUAUUUAAGGGAAAUUGUUAAAAAUACCCCUUUUGGUGUGCCCCUUUUCAAAAAUGUCCCUUUUAGAUGUCCAUUUUCAAAAAUGCCCCUUUUUAAAUCUGAAAUUUUUAUAAAGUUUUAUUAGGUUUAUAAGGUACUUAUGGUUUGUAACUACUACUUGAAGACUCGAUCCAAGUAUUUAUAAGGUUUUAUAAGGUGUUUUAAAAAGUUUUACAAGUUAUUUUAAAGGAUUUUUAAGGUUUUUCAAAGGUUUUACAAGAUAUUUUAAAGGUUUUUAAAGGUAUUUAAAAUGCAUUUAUAAGGUAUUUAUAAAGUAUUUAUAAGAUUUUAGAUACAUAGAAAUGUAGUUUGUGUAUGUUUUAAUAAUAUUACAUACAUAUUUGGGUAAAUCUUAUAUUUUUAAGAGCAUUUUUUAUAAGGUUUUAAAAAAGGGGUAUUUUUUAAAAAGUGGCAUUUUUGCAAAAGCUCCUAUUUUUAAUAGUUCAAAAAUUAUUUAUAUUUGUAAUAAGUUUAGAUAAUUUAGUAUUUAUUUAUUAGUAUAACAAUUAAUUAGACCAUUUGAUGAUUUUAUUUAUUUUAUUUAGAUAUCUUCUUUGGUACUCUAUUAAUAUUCAUAAUUAUUUGAUGAUAUUUUUUCAGUUAAAGUCUUAAUUAUUUUGACAGAUGGUACCUAAAAUCACAAAAUAAUUCAGCUAGAUUCAGCAGUUACCAUUUAGAAAUGUAAAAAUACAGCUAGAUUCAGCUGAAAAUCACUAAAAAUUCAGCCAGAUUCAGUAAUUCAGCUGAAUUCAGCCAGAUUCCUCGAUUACCAUUUAGACCCUAUAUCAACCAACUUAUAAAAAAACCUAAAUUGAUUUUCUAUAGUUGAAUCCAUGAAGAGCCGGUCCACAAUGAAACACUUAUAACAAUGGUUCAACUGCCAAGCGGAUGUAAGAUUAAGAUCCAUCGAUUUAAUAAGUUUCUAUAGAGGUCAUUGAUAUAUAGUAUUUUCUACUUUUCUUAAGUUUUCCUAGUCUCCUAGAGGUCACUACAUAUAUUUUUUUUUGUGCGUAUAGUGUAACACAAUUGAAUUUGAAGUUAGAUUAUGACUCAACAACAACAUUGAUACAUAUAUACUAUUCAGCCACAUGACCUUGUCAUACAUUUUUUGUGUUAUAUAUUCUUAAUGUUGUCGACUAAUGUUGCUAUAUAAUUUUCUAAUAUGCUAUAUAUUUGUACGGCAUCUAUUAAUCAAAAGUUAACGAGAUUAAUUAAGCAAACACAAAAUAGGAAAACGCAUCAAAAACAUAUGAGAGAUCAUAUUUGAAUAUCAUAAUGAUGAUACUCAUGGGCAUAGUCAAUUUACAUUGUAGAAACUAGAAAGCUAGACUUGUCUUCUUUAUCAUCAAAAAGAAAGACUUGUCUUCUUUAUCAUCAAAAAGAAAGACUUGUCUUCUUUAAAGAGUACUUGGCCAAAUUACAUUGUUAAAAGACUUGUCCAAAAUGAAAAAAGAGAAUGUAAUUGAUAAGUUAAAAGAGAUAACAAUCCAGCUAAUUCUGGCUAAAACAUUAUCAUUACAACUAUAUGUCUAUACUACUUACUUCAUGACUUCAUGACAAAAAAAAAAAAAAAAAAAAAAAAAAAAAAAAGAUAAUGGCCCAUGCAGGUUUCGAACCUGCGACCUUCGCGUUAUUAGCACGACGCUCUAACCAACUGAGCUAACGGGCCAUUUGUUAGAGAGCUAAAAUCAUUUUAACUAAAUUUUAAAUCAUCAUUUUUAUGCAGAUUAUUAGUCAAAAAAAGAUGCAAGAAAUGUUGAAAUUAUUUUUCAUACGGGUUAUUAGUCAAAGUAUAUGCAAGAAAAAUGUGGAAAAGUUUGGGAUAUAUCAUCAUGCAUGGUUGGUGAUUAUAUGAGUAUCUUUUGACUUCUCUCUCCAUUAGAGGAUUCACGAUCUUCUUCCUCCAUUCUUUUUCCAGGUAAACCAAGAACACAAUUUAGAUCAUAUACAUAUGCUUAGAUUUGUACAAUUAGGACAUGUAUAUAUUGUUCUUCUAAUAUUAGAGUUUUUAUCUAAACAAACUAGAAAUUAAAGCUCAUUUCUUGGAGAAUUUUGAAGAGCUGAAUUUUUCAAUUUCUUGUUUGAUUAAAGAUUUGACAGAACUACAAAAUAGGGUGGAUUUGAGAAAGUUUGAUGUUGCAGAUUAAUCAAAUUCAUAAGUUUUUGUCUACGUGUCCAAAAAUCCUGGAGAGUCCAAUCUUAAGAGUUUUCAGAGGCGAGUUUUGAGAUGUUCCUUUUGAUGUGAACAAUUAUGUUAUUUGAACACUUUGAACCACCUGAUAUUGGAGAUCAUGUUUUUGUUCAGUUUCUGAGUGUAAUGAAUUCUUGAAUUGUCAAAUUUGAUUUCCAAUCUAGGAGUUCCUUUUGUUGUCUUAAAUUGAAGAUCAAGUAUGUCUUGUUUUUGUUCAUUUUAUGAGUUUAAUGAAUUCUUUAAUUUGAUUUCUGAGUUGUGACUGAAAUUGGUUAGGAACACUCAUAAUGGCUGAAUCUGCAAGCAACACCGGUUCAAGAAAGCUUAUUCAGAUUGAUGUGAGCUCGGAUUCGGUGUGUCCAUGGUGCUUUGUGGGCAAGAAGAAUCUUGACAAAGCCAUUGAAGCAUCUAAAGAUCAAUACAACUUUGAGGUUACCUCUCUCACUCUCUUUUCUUUUGUUUAUUUGGAGAAUGAUUAAGAUGCUUACGGUAUUCAUCUCUCAAAUAGAUUCGAUGGCGUCCGUUUUUCCUUGAUCCAUCUGCACCAAAAGACGGUGUGAGUAAGAAAGAGUUUUAUCGACAGAAAUAUGGAAACAGAUACGAAGGAAUGUUCGCCAGAAUGUCCGAGGUUUAACACAUAACGAUUCUUUAACAUAGCUUAUAUGUUCUUGUUGAGAGGAUCUUGAAAUGAUCUUUUGAUUCAUUACAGAUCUUUAAAGGUCUUGGAUUAGAGUUUGACACAGCCGGUCUCACGUAAGCACCAAGAGUUUUCUUUUAUCAAUCAAGAAGAGUGAUUUCUUUUGUCUUUUUUUUCUUUCUUCUAAAUGUUUUGUUGAUAAGAACAGAGGCAACAGUCUGGAUAGUCAUAGACUUAUACAUUACACCGGUAAACAAGCGCCGGACAAACAACAUAAACUUGUUGAGGAAUUGUUUAUCGGUUACUUCACGCAGGGAAAGUUCAUCGGUGACAGGUAUUUAUCACAAAACUCUUGUCCUCAGAAUAUGUGAAACGGUUUAUUUUUUGUGAUAGAUUAGCUUUACACAUCCUUAGAUGUUAAACUGGACAUAAAAACUCGUUAACCUUGCGGAUGAUUUCAGGGAGUUUUUGGUAGAGACGGCUAAAAAGGUUGGGAUAGAAGGAGCAGAAGAAUUCCUCUCAGACCCCAACAAUGGACUCACAGAGGUGUGUUUUCUGAAUCAUGUGAUCAUUAGAGUUAUUUUCUAUAGUAUAAUGUUGAUUGAUCUGUUUUGAACUUUUAUAUAAUGAAAGGUGAAAGAAGAACUGGCAAAGUAUUCUCGAAAUAUCACCGGAGUUCCAAAUUACACUGUAAGUUUUCGCGCUACAGAUCGAUCUCGUUUGCUAAUUUUAAUGUGUCCUUAUUCUUCAAGUCUUAUAUCCAUACUUUGUGUUGUUUGGUCAGAUCAAUGGGAAGGUGAAACUAAGCGGCGCACAACCGCCCGAAACAUUCCAGAGUGCGUUUAAAGCGGCCUCAGCUUGAAACACAAACAGUGAACUCAAGAGCUGUUGAAGUUUUACAUCUAUGGAGAUAGUCUGUUUCUGUUGUUUGAACUUUAAGUUAUUGACUUUUCAAGAAGUUGGUGUAAUAAAUUACUAAAACAGAUUUGUUCUGUGAUGGUUUGUCUAAAUAAUUCAGAGAAGUUGAUUUCAAACAUUCUUCUUCUUCUUCUUGCUCUGAUCUCAAAGCAAUGUUCUAGAUAACAAAUUCUUGAAAGAUUCAAACUAUUUUUCCUUCCAAUCAUUGUCUUGCUUAUACAUGUAUAUAGAGAUAUAUGAGUCUAUAACAUUAAGAGACAUCACAUAUUUACUGUUAAAAGGCAUCUGGAUAUUCACAGAAGUUUUAUGUACAAGUGAUUUCUCUCUGUUUAUUCUAUUGAGCAGGACUCAACUCCUUUAUGUUCUUUGAGCAAGUCUUUAUUACAAUGCUAAGAAGUUUCAUUUUCAUCAAAUGCCAUCACCUGAAAGAUUAGAUUGAAGAAAUUAGGUCAUGGUUCUCUUAUAUGACCAAGAAUAGUAUGAGAAAUGGACCACUCUAUUCAUGUAUGUAAUAAAUGUAAAUGCUUAAAAUGGAGAUAACAAUUUCUUAUACAAAUUGAUGCACUUUGAAUAUCUAUGAAGGAGAUUGAUGGAACAUUCGACCAAAACUGGGUUUUAAAGUUUUGUAGAAAGCGACGAGUUACCUUUCCACAGACGGGGCAAGUUUCACUUCUCUCCAUCCAUUCAUAAAUACAGCUAAGGUGGAAAUGGUGAGAACACUUGGUGAUUAUCUUUGGAUUCUCCGGAGUGUAAUCUGCACAUUGUAAAACAAAGAAUACUGAAACCAAAAUUACCUUAAAGCACUCACAAAACGAUUGCUUUAUCUACGUAGUUUCAUUCUACGAAAAAUUUGAUGUAAACUAUCCUAAAGAACUAAAGACUAUUAGUGGCCUAAUUGCUCAGGACUGCAUUAAAUGAAGAAAUGAAACCAAUAAAGCAGAGAAAGCAACUUAUAAAGAUCUACUAACAACCUAACACACUCUUUAUCACGCGGUAAUAAGCCAAAAAACCCUGCAUAUAGUGGGUUCAAAGAGAAUUUUACCAUCAAGGCAGGUUGGACAAAUAUCUUCAUCAUCUGAUUCUGCAUAAUGAAUUUCUAUCCCGGGCAUUGUUUUCGACUUUGCAAUGGUUGAUGAACCUUUUGAAUACACUUCUUUCGAACCAUCAUCAGAAUCAGACUUACUCCAUUUGGUUCCACCACCACCCAAAGAUUCAGAACUCAUUUCAGUAUCACCUCUUAAAGGUUCCGAUUCUUCACCUGAGUGGCCUGAGCCCUUAACAAAACGAAAGUACCUAGGAUCAGCAUCGUAAGGCAACGGUGUUGGAGGAGAAUGAUACACACUAGAUAGAGAGUCAUCGAGUGCAGUUGUUGAAUUCAUCACUGUAGCAGUCUCAACAGUUGAAGGUAUUGGAUGCAUUCCCCCUCUAUUAAACAAGGACGCAUACUGCAAAAAAGGUAGAACGUAAGUUUCAACAAAACCGAAAACCGUAUCAUUGGUAAUCCACUACAAAGGAGCACAAGAUUCGAAGACGAAGGUGAAGAGGAAGAUACCAAAUCCACGAAACUCUGGAGGAAGCAAUUUACGCAAGGACAGUUCCCAGUCAUUGAAGUGUUUGGAUUGACAUAACUCUCAAAGAGAUCAACUUGAAAGCAACAACAGAAAGCACCCAUAUCUUCAAAAUCAAAACUUCAAACCUCAAGUUAUCAAAUUUCGAAGAGAAUGAGAGAGGAAGCCAAUUUCACAGAAGAGUUUCACUAGCUCCCGUAAACCAGAAUCCUCUCUCUUCUUGGUGUAAAGUAAAACUCUUGUUCCUACUCAGUUGAACUACCUGUAAGAGAAACAGAUAAAAAUUUUACAUUUCAAAAACCAAAUGAAUCACUAGAAGAAAUUAGCUAAUACACAUCACAAAACAAUGCAACAAAAUGAUUCCAAAACCUCAAAAAAAAAAACUCAGCUUUUUACAAGAAUCAUUGUUUAAUGUACAAGCAAAAGCAUAAACCUUUCAGAUAAAAACCAUCAAUCCGAUGAAACCCACAAAACCAAAACUUGAAGGAUCAUAAGUAAGCUCAUCGAUCAACAUGAAAUGAUCAGUAUCCAAAUCCUUUGAUCAUCAAAUAGAUUUUUUUUUAAAAAAAGAAGAAAAAACAGAGGAAUCGAUGAGUACCUUUGUGAUAGAGACCUGAGAAAAUCCAGAAGCAAGAGAAAAAAUCAAUGAGAAAAACCUGGAAUUUUCCGGUAUUAGAAUCUGUUGACUAAUUCUUAAUUGAAGAUUUUUGCAGGUUCGUCGAAAAAGUGCAAAAUAAUUUUCCAGAAUAAUAGCGAUCCUUUCUCUCUCGUCUUUGUCUUCUUCUACCUUUUGAUCCAUAUAGCCUUUUUGGUCGAAAUUUAACCAGGGGAAAACAGAAAGUUUCAGAAAUCGUCCCUCUAUUUUUACAUAUAUUAAGUUUCGACCCUAAACGUUUUGAUUUUAACUUUAAGCUAUUCUAUUCUUGUUUUGACCCAUACAUUUUUUAUACUCUGUUUAACUUUUUCAUCAGUUCCGGCUAGGCCUGGGCGUUCGGUUCCAUUCAGUUCUUCAAUUCUUCGGUUCGAGCUCCUUAGGAUCCAUAAGAGAACCGAAAAAGUUUCGGUUUGGUUCGGUUCGGUUUGGAUACUUAGAAGAGAACCGAUAAAUAACCAAACUCCAAUGGAUAUCAGUUCAGUUCCGGUUAUUUUACCCAAAAUAUAAAAAAAGAACCGAAAUACCUAAAUAUCCAGAACUUUUUUGACAAAAUUGUAAUGGGCCAAAAUAUCAAAAAAUUAACAAAAAUCUAAUGUGUCAGAGGUUGAGACAAAAUGUAUUGGGCUUCGAUGGAGGUUUAUACACAAUUGACCAAACAUUUUCGGUUUCUUUCGGGUACUCAUGGAUAGUGUGACUGAGAUCCAAUCGGGUAUUUAGUGGUAUCCAGAACCGAACUAGAACCUUUUUUCCAGUUCGGUUCAUCGGUUCCAGAUUUUAUGCCAAGGCCUAGUUCCGGCAAUGAAAAUAUUACCGUUCCACAUUGUUGGAGUUAUGGAUUUAUGUUCAAAUUCUAAAUCAUAUGUUUCUGUUACCAAAAAACAUAAACAUACAAAGUGUGGAUUUGAAAUAGUCAGUAACAACAAAAUGUCUUUUGAGUUUAAGAACUUGUGAGUAUCCUCUAAUUAAUAAUAGUAUCCUGAAUAUGCCCACUUUGACGAAGGAAUAAGGUCAAGUUGCUCUAAACUUAUCUCUACACUUGAUAACCAAACAACAGAAAAUUGUAACAAUCUCAAAAUUCUGUCUUGCUGCAGAGACCACACCUCAUUAUGUGAGAGAAGCCAAAGUGUUGUCUUGAAUUCAGUUACCCACCUUGGCAACUUUUCUCUGCUCUGUUUGGCCCGACAAUGGGCACUGCAUCUCUGUCCAACUUAUUGGAACCAUUGUUUCUCCUGCACAAUCACCAGACCACAUAAAAAUUUUGUUUACUCGAACGGAAAUACACUUCAUAACAUAUAACUGCCAGAAGAAGCAAUGCAUAUACACAUUAACAUACUCCAAUUCCAUGAUGAAAACGGUUGAUACUCAUGAUUGCCUAAUGAGAACUACAAGUUGGAAAUGUAUUACACUUUGAUAUGUGACAGAGCUAUAAACUUAAUAAUCUUGCCUUCAUUACCCUAUAUUCAGUUACCAAGAGCAAGAAAAAAAUGUACCUGCAGCACUUUCUGCUGAGACCACACCAAGUUCAUUCUUAGCAGUUGACAAAUAGUAAGCCCGUGCAUCACCAAGAGACAGCUUUAAGAGUCCAAGUUAAGGUAACUUCAGAUAUUAUCACCUAAAACAUCAUAUAUUACUAUAGACUACACCUACGCUACAUUCAAUUUAAACUAUAUAACAAGAGAUAUGUAAGUAAAAAGAGAAAAUGAAUGGCAUAAUGUAACAAAUCUUAGAAAAGUCUUUCCUCUGUAAGCAAUGUUAAGCACUGUAAAAGAAAACCUAAGUGUGAAACAUAAGCGCAAGGAUACAACCAUAGCUCUAACAAUGUCACCAGCACGAAAAGACUGAUGCAUGUCAACUUUAUCAAUCUCUGUUGCUCUAACAUCUUGUUGCCUAUGAAAGAGCAAACACAAGUUAGCUCGACACAUAAAAGAACAAACCUUGAAAAUAAACGCGAAAGAAGGGUGAGAAAUUCACCUAAUUACGCCGGCAAAAUUUUCACGAACGGCCUUUGAACCAACACACAAGAUAUCAACAGCAGCCAUCCGAGCCAUAACUUUAGUCACCUAUCAAGAAUAACAGAUCAUAGUCAUCAAACUAAAGUCUUUCUUUCAAGUAUGAACAUCAAUGAAUCCAAUAAGUGCAGGACUCACUCUUGCUAUGACAACAGAACCAGGCUCUGGAAUAGGACCAUGUGCCUUGUGACCCGUAACUUCUACAACAGCUCUCUGCUCACCAUUGUUAUGAUUCAAUAAGUUAUCCAUAAUAAUCACAAAAUCAAUGAGCUAUGAACGAUUUACAAUUGCAAAUAGUAACCACAAAAUUCAACGACUUCUCGGAGAAAUUCAGCGAGCCCAAUCAAUGUAACAAAAGCCGAACCUGGUCAAGUGAUUCGGGAAGAGGAGAAACAAUCCGACGAGUUCCUGUGAGAGAAGCGUAGAUGGUGGUGUCGUUAACAUAAGCUCCUUUUCCGGCUUUAAACUCAGUCGCUUUCCCGAUUACAUCUCCCGGCGUUACUAGCUCCGUCGUCAUAUUUUCAAAAAUUUCCGAUUUGAGUGAGUCUCAAACAAAACCCUAGUAACCUGGGGGUUUUUGAUCGAGAAAGUUUCGGAAACCAUCCCUUUGAUUCUAUAGAAAUUCAAUUUCAACCCUAAAUGUUUGGUUAUAAUUUUAAAUUUUGACCCAUAAUGUUUUGAUAUUAACUAAUUCAACCUUGUUAGACUUAAAUACCCGAAUCUGACCCGGAUACACCUAAUACCCGAAUCCGACCCGGUUAUUACCCAGUUUCAACUCUCAACACUUGCAGAAAAACUCUCAAAAAUUCGAGUAAUUGAAAAUCCAAUAAACAAGCGGGACCUAAAUUUUGAAAUCUCUCUAUCCAGAUCCGUUUCUCCGUCACAGUUUAUCUCUCUCCGUCACCGGAACCGGCGAGAUUAGUCUUCGGGAUUCCCAGAUCUACUCGUCUACUUCUUCCUCCGUUCGCUGUGUUCAUCGGAUUAUUCAAUUCGCUCGAUAGUUGCUGCAUUUCGCGAAUUGAUUAGGUUAAAAGCGUCUAUGUACUCCUGUUUUCUCGCUCGAUUUGAGUAACCUAGGUAUUUCGCUACGUUUCUGUUCUGUUUGUUUUGGAUUUGAAGAAAAGAUGCGAAGUGUGAGUAGAAAAUUUGGAAGUUUCAUGAAGAUUUGAGGGAUUGAGUUAGGUAUUGUAGUUGUAGAGAGAAUGCAGAGUUUAUCGAACUCAGCUCCGACACCGGAGGCAAUAUUAGAAUGGUUACAGAAGGAAAUGGGGUAUAGGCAAUUAGGUCCGUAUAAUGGAUCAAGCAAAUCUCAUGUUCCUUCUAUUGAUGCUAUAAGGAAGAUUUGUAGAGGGAAUAUGAUACCUAUUUGGAAUUUUUUGAUAAACCGAGUGAAAUCGGAGAAGACAGUGGAGAGAAUUAGGCGGAACAUUACGGUUCAUGGAGGAAGUAGUAACGCUAGCAUUGGGAGUUCUGUGAAUCCUGGGAAGGAGGAGAGUAAGGGUAAAGGAAGACGGAAGGAAAAGACAGUGUCUGGGGAGAGUUCGAGUUAUGCAGAGGAUAGAGAGGCUGCAUUGCAGGAAAGGGAAUUAGCUGCAAAGGAAGUGGAGAGGUUGAGGAACAUAGUGAGGAGGCAAAGAAAAGAUUUGAAAGCUCGAAUGUUGGAGGUCUCUAGAGAAGAAGCAGAACGGAAGAGGAUGCUUGACGAAAGAGCAAAUUACAGGUAUGAUUUGAAUCUUAAUUUUGAACACAGUAUUUUAAUACAUUGCGCCUCAGUUGUAAAAGACUACUAUAGAAAAUAACUGCACCAGUCAGCUCAAGCUCAUUUAAUACUUUCUCAUGUUGUGGUUUUGCUUUACUAUCAUUAGUGUCAUGUCCUCAACUGAACCAUUCUAAGUACAUUCUUUAUGUGUACCAUGAUUAGCUGAUUAGAGUUUUGGUGGUAUUUCGAUUUCCUUCUCUGUGAUUUCAGGAGCCACAUAUAUAUAGCCUUGAAGUAUUCUUUUUUGCUAUUUUGAGUCUCCAAUGAUCUCGAUAUACCUCUAGAAGAAUAUGUAUAUGGGAUCUCGUCAGGCUAGUUUGUUGCUUUAGUUUCAUGGUUAUGCCACAUCAACCAUUCUUAAGUUUGUAUUUGUACUUGGCGAUAUUGAUGUUCUAUCCACCCCUUUCACGAAGAUCUAUCAACAGCAUUUAACUCUGUUGAAAUGCAUUGAUAUUGUUGAUACAAUUAAUGGAAAUCUUUGUUUCUGUUAUGUUCAGUAGAUCUUUCAAAUUGUUAAAUGAGUUUUUUUUUUUUUUUUCCUUUUUUCAGACACAAGCAAGCAUUGUUGGAAGCAUAUGAUCAACAAUGCGACGAAGCAACAAGAAUAUUUGCAGAGUAUCACAAAAGGCUACAAGUCUACGUUAAUCAAGCAAAUGAUGCACAGCGGUCUGUCAAUUCGUCGAAUGAAGUGUUAAGCAGCCUCAGUGCUAACAGUGAGAGGGAAGCUGUUUAUUCCACUGUCAAAGGAACUAAGUCUGCGGAUGAUGUUAUUCUCAUGGAAACAACCCGAGAACGAAAUAUCAGGAUAGUUUGUGAUUUACUUGCAUCACGCAUGAUUGAAAGAAUACGUAACUCCUUCCCUGCAUACGAAGGAAAUGGAAUUUGUUCACAUCCUGAGCUGGAAACAGCGAAGCUGGGUUUUGAAUAUGAUGGAGAAAUAACUGAUGAGAUGAAAACUGUUAUAGUAAAUUCCCUGAGGGGUCCUCCUCUGCUGCUUCAGGCUAUUGCUGCAUACACUUUACGCAUUAAGACCCUGAUAUCCAGAGAGAUGGAGAAGAUUGAUGUCAGAGCGGAUGCUGAAAUGUUAAGGUGUCUCCUGAAUUUCCUUCUUAUGCCUUUCUCUGUUAUUGUACAUUCCUGAUUCUGCGGGGUGUGGUUCACUCAAAUGCACCUUGCAUGCUAUUUUGCUAAUUUUCUUGACACUGAAGUGGAAGAUUAUGAAACUCAUAUAGCAAAUUAGUACUUAUUCUUUGUAUUUUGAUCUGGUCGAUAUGAGCGGUUCCUGGACUUCCUUGAAAAUAUGUUUGAUCAAUGAUAAUUGUAUCUCUAUCUCCUAUCAAUUUUUCAGUUUUCACUGAGUGAGACAUCUCUGCUUUCUUAAGUUUUUGUUCCAGGGUUGCUUUGGACUAACAUAAGCAAUUGGAUGUCAAUCUAUUUACAGGUAUAAGUUUGAGAACAACCGGGUAACAGACAAUUCUUCUUCUGAUGUGAGCUCGCCUUUGAGUUAUCAGUUUAAUGGUAAUGGGAAGAUAGGCACAGAUACUCAUUUCCAGGGAUCUAACAACCAGCUCCUUGAACGGCAGGUUGCUUUCUUUGUCUAGUUUUGCUGGUUUCUUCCUUUUAAUAUGAACAUAUAGAGAAAGCAGAGUUAAAAUUCAAAUUUAGCAAAUGAAUACUUUAGACAGAUAUAUUCGGUUUGUUUUUCUAGUACUGUAUUUGUAUGUGUUGCACUGUAUGGCCAUAUGUUUAGAGUCUGUUUAUCUUACCUUUCACCUGUGCUACGUUUUUCAGAAAGCGCAUGUUCAACAAUUUCUGGCUACUGAAGAUGCACUAAACAAAGCGGCUGAAGCUCGUGAUUUAUGCCAAAAAUUUAUUAACCGUUUGCAUGGAAGUGCUGAUGCAGCUACACAUUCGUUUGCUGGAGGCACAACACAGAAUGGUAGCAAUCUUAGACAAUUUGAGGUAGAUGCCAGAUUCCCUUGGUUUCUUUAGUUUCAACCUUUCACUUGAAUCUAAAAAGACUAAUCAUGUUCCUAUACAAAUCUUACAGUCAAAACAUUCUUAUACUUGUUAUGUAUCCGGGCACUGCAUAACUGAUUCUCAGUUAUCAUGAAAGUUCAUUGUAUGUUUAAUAUACAUGCUGAUAUACUUGCUUGAACAAGCUAUCAAUUUUUCCUUUGCAGUUGGAUGUAUGGGGAAAGGAAAGAGAAGCUGCUGGUUUGAGGGCUAGCUUAAACACAUUGUUAUCUGAAAUACAACGGCUGAAUAAAUUAUGUGCAGAAAGAAAAGAAGCUGAAGAUUCCUUGAAGAAGAAGUGGAAGAAAAUUGAGGAAUUUGAUGCUCGCAGAUCCGAACUUGAAACCAUAUAUUCAACUCUUCUCAAGGCUAACAUGGUAAUAUCCCAACUGAAUCUUUCAUUAAAUUGUGAUAAUUACCAUGAGUAAUACUCUGUAUCAUGACCUUCCUUUUUAUAUAGGAUGCUGUUGCAUUCUGGAAUCAACAACCACUAGCUGCAAGGGAAUAUGCAUCAGCCACUGUAAUUCCAGCUAGUGAAGUUGUUGUGGACAUUUCAAACAGCGCAAAAGAUUUCAUUGAGAAAGAAGUGUCUGCUUUCUUUCAAAGUCCUGAUAACAGUCUUUAUAUGCUUCCAGCAACUCCUCAGGUGUGUAAGUUGUCAUAUGACAUUCUGAUGUAUUUUAUCAAUCCAUUUCUACGUGAUACAAUUGUCUUUCAGUUAAUUUGUAGGAUAUAUUGAACUCAUAAUCGAAGACGGAUAUUUGUUGAAUAAUAUAAAAACAAUAGAAGUUCAUAUAGAAAAGUGUGGUAUAUGUUCAAGGUUCUUUUGGUCUGUAAAUCAAAUAAUCAUGCAGCAAAAGAAAUUUUGGAGUUUAUGGUUCAGGUUAAAAUUUUGUUGCUUUCAUAGGUGUAACAGAACUUGCAAUUAGAAGACCAUUUUCUUUCAACUUUGCAAACUUGCAUGUAAAUGCCUCGAUUCUGUUUAUUUAUAUGAACGUUUUCUUAAUCAGGGACUUCUGGAGUCUAUGGGAGCUAAUGGAUCGACAGGACCUGAAGCUGUUGCAUAUGCAGAGAAGAAUGCUGCUCUAUUAACGGCAAGAGCUGGUGCAAGAGAUCCAUCAGCAAUUCCAUCUAUAUGUCGCAUUUCUGCUGCCCUUCAAUAUCCUGCAGGUAAGAUUUUUUUCUUCUUUUUUAAAAAAUCCAAGGACAUAUAGUUCAUCCCUCUGGAAAAAAUUUAUUUGCAUUGAAUCAUCCAAGUUUCAAGGAGCUUUUUAAUGAAACUAUUGCUCACUGCUUCAUGAAUGACAAUCUUUUUCAAUGCAAUGCAAAAUCAUAAAACAAACAUAAAAAUAAAAAAAAUAAAAAAAAUCUUACCUAUUACGUCGAUUGAGGUAUGCUAUAAUAGCCAAAAGGUUUAAUGAUGGCCACUAGUUGCAUAUUAUGACUACGCUUUGGAUCUGUUGUUGUUUUCAAGCAUAAAAUGGAGCACUUUUAUAUGAUAUACUUAGAAAUCUUCAUAGACCAAAAUUCUUAGUGGCUUCUUAGUACGGCUUGCUUACCAUCUAUAUUCUGCUUCGUAAAUAGGUCUGGAGCGUUCAGAUGCAAGUUUGGCCUCAGUGUUAGAGUCUCUUGAAUUCUGCUUAAGGGUUCGUGGUUCUGAAGCUUGUGUUUUAGAAGACUUAGCAAAGGCAAUCGAUUUGGUCCAUAUACGGCAGGAUCUAGUUGAGAGUGGCCAUUCUCUGUUAGAUCAUGCUUUCCGUGCCCAGCAAAAAUAUGAAAGGUAAAGUGUGUGCCUCCGUACUCUGGUCUACAUGGGCCACCAUUAUCUUAUUUAUUACCCCCACACUAUCUUAUGUUAACUUUCACUGCACUAAUUAUGAAUCUUGUAUGCAGAACAACUAACUACUGCCUAGAUCUAGCUUCUGAACAAGAGAAUACAAUAUCAGACCAAUGGUUGCCUGAACUUAGGACUGCAGUCCAGAAUGCGCAAGCUUCCUCCGAGCAUUGCAAAUACGUCAGGGGUUUGGUAUGGAACUACCUUUAUGUAUAAUUCUUUUUUGUUAUGCUUAAUAUGGUACUGACGGUGACCGUCUUCAUGUGUCUUCACAUGGACGUUCUUAACUCAUAUCACUUCCAAAGUAUGGCGAAUAUGUACCAUAAAAUGAGAAGCAUAAAAGCUGCUUGAUAGUGCUUAGUGCUUAUAUGUUUUUGGGAUUUAGAAAUCCUUUUAUUUGGUCUUCUUUAUGACUAGUUAAGCUUGCCUAUGAAAAGAAUCAGGUUUUCAUUUGACAAUUGCUUACAAAAUUGCAACUAAAGUUUACGGUUCUAGUCCUUUUUCUAUUCUUCACUCUCUUUCCUUAUAGGAAGCUUAAUACAAUUCUUUUUGUUUGUGUUUCAAAUGCAGCUUGAUGAAUGGUGGGAACAACCUGCAGCAACAGUUGUGGAUUGGGUCACUGUAGAUGGUCAAAGUGUUGCAGCUUGGCAAAACCAUGUCAAACAGCUUCUUGCCUUUUACGAUAAAGAAUCAUUGCGAACGUAAAGACCCAUCAUUACCGCUCUCAAUUCUCAUUAUACACAGUGGUGAAUCUUAUCUUCAACAACAAUGUUUGCAAAGUGGGAAAGCUCGACGUGCAAUUUGUAAAGAAAAUGGUAACUCUUCUUCUCUAUUAACAAACCGUUUCUCUUUGUGUUUGUCGAUAUAGUUCCUCAGGUUUCGUUUUCAAAUCAUUGCGGGAAAUUCAUGUGUUUCGCCAUUGUGUUAUUGGGUUUUGUUAAGUAUUUCCGUGUGUUUCUGAUUCUCUUAAUCAGUCUUGUAUCACGAGGUUUGUGUUUCAUACAUUUGUAGCUAAUAUGAAUCAGUUUUCUGCAAUCUUUGUAAGCUUUUUGUUUUUCUAAUUUGACGUCAAACUUUGAAUGUGAAUGUUGAGAAAUAGUUUUUGUGUUACCAACUACUUGUUUGUUGUGUACAAGCAACGACCGUGAGGGUUCUGAGGAAUAGUCUCAAACAUUAAACUCUCGUGAAGAUUAGAUUAUGUUGGACAACCCUUUAUUUCAGGUAAAAUGGAACCACACCGGAAGAAUUAUGUCAGGAAUAUUAGUUGUUACCAAAUCCAAAUUUAAUUAGAAUACUGUUUUCAAGCUAGUAGCAACUAUAGAUAUAAUCAAUUACUAAAUUUUCUUAUUACAUGUGAAAUUCAAAGAUCAAUCAACAUAAACAAAGUGAUAAAUACCAAGCUUUUGUUAUUUUGUUCCUUGUCUUCCAAACACUGAAAACAAUAAUGGCGAAUCACGAGACAGAAAAGAACAAAAAAACUUUUUGAAGAAACAUGUUUAUGUGUCUUAUAAUAUCAGAGACAAAACAACUCUAAAAACAGAGCUCCAAAAUGUCUUCUCUUCUCAUCCUCAUCUUCAUUGCCUCAAUCAUAGCAUUCAGUAAUUACUCUUCAGUUGCUGCUACAACUCUACCUGACACUGUCCAUUGUAACAACAAUAACCACUUUUCAGUCUCAGGUAUCAUCACCAAAAACUGGCUUUAGUAUAUUUUAAAAACUUUUCUCCUUUCUGUUCUGAGAAGUUGUCUUCUUCCGUGUGAAUUUGUGCAGGUGGGCUUGAUUGCAUACAAGAAAAACCAAGUUUUAGACAUGAGACAAAAGGUUAUCACAGAGAAUUUCAGGUUUUGUGUCCUUUCUCUGAGGUGAGAUGUGCAAAGACUCGACGGAUUCUUAAACAUAUUAGGCAAGCAAGAAGAAGAGAUCAUCAACACAAAAAGAGGAGAUCAUCAAGAUUCCUGCAAAACAAAGCAAAUUCAAACAAAAUUCCAUCAGAUAAGAAGUUCUUUUUCCCACAUCCAUGGUUUCUUCCUCCAAACCCGUUUGCGCCACCACAUUCGAUUUUUCCACCAAACCCAUUUGCGCCACCACCUUCGAUUUUCCCACCCAAUCCAUUUAAGCCGCCGCCACCUUCGUUUCUCCCACCAAACCCGUUUCAGCCACCACCUCCUUCAAUAUUUCCUCCAAACCCAUUUCAGCCUCGUCCUCCGCCACCAUCGGUAUUUCCUCCAUUAUUUCCUCAGCCACCUCCCCCUCCAUCAAUAUUUCCUCCAUUAUUUCCUCAGCCACCUCCUGCUUCUCCACCGUCAAUAUUCCCUCCAAACCCAUUUCAGCCUCGUCCUCCUCAGCCACCUCCUGCUCCUCCAUCGAUAUUCCCUCCAAACCCAUUUCAGCCUCGUCCUCCUCAGCCGCCUCCUGCUCCUCCAUCGAUAUUCCCUCCAAACCCAUUUCAGCCUCGUCCUCCUCAGCCACCUCCUACUCCUCCAUCCUUAUUCCCUCCGAUAUUUCCUCAGCCUCCUCCAGCUGCAGCUUCUCCUCCUCCAUCAAUAUUCCCUCCAAACCCAUUUCAACCUCGUCCUCCUCAGCCUCCUCCCACUCCUCCUCCAUCGAUAUUCCCUCCAAACCCAUUUCAGCCUCAUCCUCCUCUUCCCAGUCCUCCUCCACCAUGGUCUCUCUUUCCUCCACUGCCACCGAUCUUUCCAGGCUUACAUCCACCACCGCCACCACCUCCUCCCCCUCCUCCACCUCCAUCGUUUUUUCCAUUUCCUCCAUUCCCAUUCUUACCACCACCACGCAACCCUGGCCCUCCUCCUGCUUCAUCUUCUUCAGCAAACAAGCAGCCUCCUUAAUCGAACAAGAGUAUCAUAUGUAUAUACCAAACAUUUAGUUGAGAGAUGAACUAUAUGUUGUAUAUGACAGUCAUAUUUACAUAAGGUUAAAGAAUAAAGAUGAGUUUUCAACUCCUACAGGAUAUUUAUAUUGCAUCUGUUCUUGAAUCUAUAGAUCUAGAUACUCUAGCUCAAAUCAAGCUUCAGACGCAAGAAAACAAGAACUCCUUUCUAUCAAAUCGAACGCACUACAUGAUACAGACAUGUCAACAAGAGUGUGAGAAAGAGAAGGGCAAUAAGUGACAUUUCUAUUAGACCAUAUACUUGAAAAGUACCAUUACAUGGAGCAAUCUCUUGUUAUGGAUUCGUGAAUCUUGCUACAUCAUUCUACUUAGUCUUUACUAUAUCAUGAGAAUAGUUGCAGCUCGAUAAAAGUAGUGAGUCGCAUUUAUAUACACCAAUCUAAACCUACUGAUACCCUGGAAAAAUGUAACCUGACUUACCAAAAGGAACAAAAUUAUCAAACAGUGGUCAUAAAGAAGAAAAUAAAUAAACAGAUCUUUUAUCUUCUUGUUCUCUUCUGGGAAUGAUCUAUAUCAUUGCAGAAGCUUCUGGUUUCAGUAGGAGAAUCUCCUUCUUCAUCCGCGAUGCCAUUACAAUUAUCCUAAUGAAAAAAGAUACAUAGCAUCAAUAUACAAACUAAAAUACAUAGCAAAAUUUUAUAAGAAUCACUUGCAGAGUAGUGGACCUCUUUUUCUUUUUAUUUCUUUCCACUGUAAAAAUGUUACAGGCAUACCUCAGAAGCAAAAGCAGCAGAAGAAUACUCGCGAUCUGCUCUUUUCCGAAGGCUUAACUGCACAGAUAUCAUGGUCUCUGGCAUGUUAACACCCGAUGACUUAAGUGCUUCAGUUAAAGUGUGUAGUACCCUGUUCAAAAAUCAAACCAAAACCAGUAUGAGCUUCAAUCAAAUAUAUAUCCAUUUGAAAUUUCCUCCAACCCUGAAUCUGUUUAAGUACAAAAGCAGUUACGAUCUUACACAACGGCGUCACCACCUAUUGAGGAAGAGAAGCACUAUUCCACAAAGAGAGGCUUUGAAUUAUGGUUUUGCCAAACUUAUUUCUGUAAGUCCUCCUAAGUUCACAGCAUCUAUGUCAUUUCACUCUGUACACUAACCCACACUUCCUUCCGAAAACAUGAAUUAAAUUACGGAACAAACAAAAGCUUUUUUCAGCUACAUAUUAGUUACCUUUGUGAACAGACGGUGGACAAGCUGGGUGAUAUAGCCUCGUUUGAGUUGAACAAAUCAUCUGUAUUGCAAUUGACUGGUUUUGGUUGCCAAAAGUCAUGCUGAACAAACUGCAGCGAAGGCUCGGUUGGUAGAUACGAUGGAACUGCUGAAACAGGACAGCCUUCAAGAAUCUUGGUAUUAACUGCUGAGUCGAUAUCAGGAUCCGCGUAAUUUUGCAUAUCCGAGAGCAAACCGGAAGUAGCCGCAACGUUAUCAUUACUUGAAAAGCUCUUACCGAUUUUAGGAUGGUCAUUGACCUCCACAACAGACCCAUAAUUAUUUCUCUGCAUCAAAGUUACAUGAAACAGUUGUCAAAAAGACCAAGAAAGAUGAAACAGUUAGCACAAUAAACCAUGUUUCUCUUAAAAAAUAACAAAAACGAUCAAUAUAACAGAAAACCAACCAAGGAUAGAUAGACAAAAUCUCAAGAAAAGGCACAAAGCAAAAAGAUAGGAGAAUGAAUAUACCCAUGGAAUCAAUUUGGUUGGCCCUUGAUCCCACAUUUGGUGAUCAGAUCCUUCAUACAUGUGAACUUUCUCUUGUAAAAAGUGAAUAUACUCUAUAACCUGAUACAACAUAAAAGCAAAACAAAUUUGAUAAAGCAUCUAAAACUAAAAACACAUGUUCUUGACAAAAUUACACAUCUUCUCUUCUACCUCCAAUAAGAAAGAAGCUUUAUCUCGUUUCUGAUCAUUCUGAUUCUGAGGUAUUAUAUCCAUUAAACUCUGAAAUCUGUAUCCACCCACCAAGAUUCACAAAUUAGGAAACUUUCUGGUCAUUAAUCACUAUUACCCAUUUUAUAAAAUCGGAUAAAAAUCAAAACUUUGAACAUUCUUUAUAUUACCUUUCAUUGAUUUUGCUUCUUCUUCGUUGCUCUGUUUCUGAAUGUUUCGAUCUACACGAGCUUCGAUUUCUCCUCCCUGUUGAUGAAUCAUUUCGGGAAGGUAAGUUACUGUAUACGUCGGCUUCUAAUUGCUCAUCGACGUCAGGAGAGUUCAUUGUUCGAUGGAAUCAACACCGGAGAUGGUGUAGUGACUAAACUCCGGCGAGCGAGAGACUGAUUGAUAUGUCUCGAGAGAAGGUUGAAAAAAAAUUAAAAUUAAAUAAAUAAUGUGAAAGACUCAAAAGCCCAUUUCAAACGAAUAAUUUCAGGCCCAACGUUAUCAUUUCAAACGGGUAAAGCCUUUUAAGUAGUAAGUCAGUUGUUACUUGGGGAUUUUAUUUGGAUAUUAAUCAGGAAUUUAUUUUGUAAUUUUAUUAUUACUAGAUAAUUACCCACGCUACGCGUAGGGUUUGUUUUGAAAAUUGUUAAAAAAAAAUUAUAUCGAAUGUUCUUGUUGCUAAUUUAUGUUUUUUUUUGUUUGUUUGUUAUCGUGUAGUUAAUAAAAUUAGAUCCAUCUUAUGUAGUUACAAUUUUUGUGGUUACAGUUAUUUUUGACCCGAAAUAUCAAUUUAUGUAUUUUCAUGUAUAAAUUUGAUUUUUUAUAUAUCUAAGAUCCUAAUAUUUUUCAUUAUCAUGACUACAUACAAUAAUAAUAUAGGAUAUUUUGAUACAGUAAUAUAUAAUUAUGUUACUUGUGUGGUUUGAAACCUGUCUAACUUAAUUAUAAAAAAAAAUUCAUUGAUCUAUUAACUCUCCUGAUCUAGUGCCCCGACCACAUCAUAAUAGGCUUAUGAUUAAAUACUGGAUUGACAUAAUUUGAACAAAAUUUGAAGAGUUUUCAUAUGAAAAAAAAAAUAAAGCAAAAAAUUAAAGAGUCAUUUAUCAUCACUUUUAGAUCUUCUACUAUUGCAUAUAGCCACAUAAAAUAUAUAGUCGUGUCUUGAAUUCCUUAGUAUGUCUAACAUCUCAAAGAUUUAAGGUAAAAUUAUUAAACUAAUAAGAUUGCAUACAACACAUAUUUAUCGUAUAUGAACCAUAAAACGUAAUAAUGAAAAAAGAUUUAAGAUAAAAUUAUUAAACUAAUAAGGUGUUAGGGAGCAAACAACUAAACUACAACACAUAUUUAUUUUUAGUUAUUAGUCACCAUUGAUAAAAAGAAAAAAAAAAUUAGUAAAAUAAGAAGAGUAAAAUGAAGAACUUUAUAAUUUUAUAAUUUUAUAAUAUUAACAUAAUUUUAUAAUUUUCAUAUUUUGAAAAAAUAAGUUAAGAGUAGGAUUUAAGAGGAUUUAAUGCAAUAAAGAACUUUUGUUUUUUUCAUUUAAUUUUGCAAAAAAAUUUUAUUUAAAUAAUGUAAAAUGACACAUGUCAUUUGCUUGUGUGAUGAUGUGGCACUUAUAUGGAGAGAGUUGACCAACUUUCAUAUAUAUGAUUCGAAUAUUAUAUAAUGAAAAUAAACCCAAGAUAUUGCUUGGAAGCCACCGAAAGGGGAAUGGAUGAAGCUGAACACGGAUGGUGGAUCACAUGGUAACCCCGGCUUGGCGACGGCAGGAGGAAUUUUGCGGGAUGGUGCUGGCCGGUGGUGCCGUGGAUUUGCGUUGAAUGUGGGUAUAUGUUCAGCUCCCUUAGCUGAAUUAUGGGGGGUAUAUUAUGGACUAUACACUGUUUGGGAAAGGAACUUCAGGCGGUUGGAGUUAGAGGUUGAUUCAGCAGUGGUGGUUGGUUUUUUGACGUCUGGGAUUAGCGAGUCGCAUCCUCUGUCUUUCCUGGUGCGAUUGUGCCAUUGCUUCUUAUCAAGGAACUGGAUUAUCUGAAUUUCUCAUAUGUAUAGGGAGGUUAACCGUCUUGCCGACGGAUUAACUAACUAUGCGUUUUCAUUACCACUAGGACUUCAUUUUUUAGAGACUAUCCCACUUUCUGUGGUGACGAUUGUAGAAGAUGAUGUUCGAGGAACUGCAUUUCCAAGGCAUGUCCAAAUUUAAUUGUAUUUUUUCAGUUUAUUAAUAAAUUACGGAGAGACAUUGUCUCCCUCUAGCGCCCAAAAAAAAAACACAAAAUAUAAAAUAAAAGGUAUUAUGAAUUCGAAGGAGAUUUUUUUUUAAUGUACAUAGAAAAAUAAUGGGUGAGUUGGCAAACUACCAAUAUCCAAGGUUUGAUGGUGAUUUGCGUUAGCAAGUGGCUUAGAUGAUCGAUUCCGCCACAUUUUUAUUAGGUGUCUAGUGGUUUUAUGUCGUCUUCUUAUAUGACAAGAUUUACCAUUGUAGUCUUGUAGAGAUUAAUGAGUGUCCGCGCUAUAGCUACCGGGCAGGAUAAGAAAAUCCAUGGACGCAUAAAACGCUACAAAGAAAGCACAAUCCUAUUCUUUAAGAUAUGAUGGUUGUCACAUUUCAUUCAUGAUCAUUACUAUAAGAAUACAUUCAUUUCAUCAAUCAAAUAUUACAACUUAGGAAAUUCAACCCUAAGAGUUUAAUUCUUAUUUUUAGGCUAUGAUUUUGAAAUUCAAAAUUGAAAAAAAAAAAAAAAAAAAAAACAUUCUGAGCAUAGAUUUUAAGAUGAAUAUCGUUUAGAAAGUGUGACUCGAAGACCGUGCUUCAUGCGAAGAAUAGGACCAGGAGCUGGUUCAAUCUUUUGGCCUUCAACAACUUGAAUAUCAUAGUUUUGUAAUAUCUCCAUGACCACUGUCUUCAUUUGAGUCAUAGCUAACUUCUUACCCAAGCAAGCUCUUGGACCCGCAUUAAACGAAAAGAUCUUGGUGGAAGGAACUUCUAUCAACCCUCCUGUCAUUGAAACCCAUCUCUCCGGCUUAAAUUCCAAUGCGUCGUCUCCCCAUAUUGCUUUCAUCCUCCCCAACGCGUAAACAAAGAUUAAAAUCUUCAUACUUGGGUCCACUUCAUGCCCACUUGGAAGCUUAUCUUGUUUUACUGGAGACAAACGCUCGAAUGGAACCGGCGGGUAAAGUCUCAUUGCUUCAUACAAGGAACCAUGUAAAUACACUAGUUUGUUCAAGAAAUCUAUAGAAACAUCAUAAGACGGCCUCUCUAGGCCACCAUCACCACCAGUGGUUACUCUUGACAGAUUUAUAUUGAUCUCUUGGCGAAUGUUAGCGACAACUUGAGGGUUUUCGGACAAAAGCCAAAAGAACCAAGUGAGAGCAGAAGCAGUGGUAUCUCUCCAGGGCCGGUCCUAGAAAUUGGGGGGCCAAAGCAAUAAAAUAUUUUUUUAAAGUUAUUAUAAACAGUUAUAAAAUUUGGGGGCCUUUUCAUAAAAAUCAUUUUUUUUGGGGGUCUAUUUGCAUAUAUUUUCUCUUGCUAAAUUUCUAAGAAAAUUUGGCCGGCCCUGUAUCUCUCCCCACUAGAAUGAAAGCUAACAUGGUGUCUCUAAGAAACUUAUCAUCGUUUGGGUUCAAGAGCUCGUACUUGGUUGCAUCUAGCUUCAUGUGGGAUGUCAAAAGGUCAUCCCCUUCAUCAUUAAAAUUGUGAGUAAAAUCUUGUGAUCUUAUCUCUUCUCUCUUAUCUAAUAUAAACUUUGCACACAUUCGAUUUAAAGUGGCGUCAGCUUUGGACAACUUCUUCUCUUGUCCAAAUCCAAUCCUUCUUUGCAACUUCCACAAAAACUUUGGUUUAACAUGCCUAUACAUAAUCGCUUCUCCUACAUCGUUGAGAGCUUUAGCGAACUCAUCCACCUCUGACAUUUCAAUGGAUAAAGAUCUAGGAUCAUCACACCCACUUACUGUCAUUAAUGUUGUGUCGAACAUGAACCUCCCGAACAAGUCCUGCAAGUCCACGACCGUUUCUUCCUCCGCUAUCUUAUUGAAAAAAGGAACAAGCCCAUCAUUGAGUUUUCUUCUCGUGGUACUCAUUGACAACCUUUGAAACCUUUGGUGGUCGACCAUGGCUUUAGAAGCUUUCCUCAGACUCUUCCAUAGCUUCGAAUCCGCGGUGAGUAUCCCGUCUCCAAAAACAUCAAAUACUUCUUUGAAGUCAGGACCUUUGGUGUAAUUUGAAGAGUAUGAGUUCAUUAUUUGACGAAUAUUUUCUUGAUCAACCGUGAACAACAUAUCCAUUCCAAAAUACCACGGGCCCUUGAAUGCAAACGUCAAGUUAGACGCCUCGAGAUUCUCUACGCUAAAGUCAUAGAUCCGAUGGAACUCCAUGAGCAGACCAGGAAGCAUGCCAAGAACUGGCCAGUUUCUAAGAAAGACUUUAUUAUGAGGAUUCUUGAAGAGGUAGAGACAAAGGAUAAAGAUGAUAGAGGAAAAGAUGGCUAUGGAAGCUUCACCUAAGCUUAUUGAGGCCAUUGAAAAUUUGGAGUUUGACUGAAUGAUCAAACUUGUGAUGGUUUCUUUAGUGUAGAAGGAAACUUGAGUUAUAUAUAUAUGAAUGAUUUAUACAGUUUUGGUUAGAUCAUGAAUGUGUCCUCAGUAACCAUGGUUAGUUCAAGUCUAUGACUUGCCCCCAUUCUCUAUGUAUUGUUUUGGGCUUAAUUCUCUUUUCACCCAUAGCCCAUUAAACAUCUUACAAGAGGAUUUUCAACUGAGAUAGAAAUAGGACAUGUCCCUUUUAGGACGGUAAGCCGGUAAGGAAAAGAGUCGGAAAUGGGUUCCGGAUUCUUUAAUUACGCAUUACAUAAGCGGAGAGGAAAUUGAAGAUAAGGUACAUAGUGAUUUAUGGGGGAUGCACGAAGUAGGUGUGCAAUGAAAAGACAACGACCACGGUUUGACUAUAUAUAAAGAAACAAUAAUCAAAUCAAUUUAUAUGAUCACGUUCUUUUUAGGACCAUUUUUAGGUUAGAGAGAGAAGUGAGCUCAGAUUUCGGAUUAACGAUUCAUGUAAUUUUCUCUACUAUACAAACAGUUGAUAUCAAUUUCUAGAUUUUAAAUCAUUCAUUUAUAGGAUUGAAGGUACGUACAUAAAAAGAUAAACAGGUUGUGAUUUGUAGGGAUCCACGAAUUAGGUGUAACCUAUGUUUAAAAAUUUGCUAGGCGCUAAUCGAGUGGCCGACAUGGGUGAUGUGAGUCCCACUUUUAUUGAUUUUUGGAGUUGUUUUAACAGUGAAUCUUGAGUGUUUUCAAUAACAACAAGAUGAUUUCCGGUGAUUUUGUUUACUUUUUGUUGUUUUCAGGUUUAUAUGUCAAGAGAAAAGAGGAAGUUCUAGAGAAGAAAUAUAUAGAUCAUUAAAACGUCAAGUAAAGUGAAGAUUCAAGAUGAACAACCGAUCGACAUAUACUUGUAACUGAUCAAUAGUAAAGACGCCAAGAACCGAUCAGUACAAAUCUGUAUCUCAUCGGUACAAACCUGUAACCGACCGGUGCUCACAUAAAUGAUGUUUCCAUUAUCCGAAUUUAGGAUUUUCCUCUUGUACUAUUUGUUAAAGCAUACAUGACAAGCCCAUGUAUUUUCUAUCUACUAGCCCAUCUAAAACCCAUGUAUUUAGGUUUCUAACAAGUAGACUCAUUAUAUAUAUAUAGUAGAUUCUCUCUCUUAACGCUAUCUUCAUCCUUCAGAGAGAGAAGGUGAUUUCCGGUCUACCGGAAAUUUCUUUUGUGUCUUAUAAAUAGUUUUCCGAUCUAUUCGGAUUUCUCUUUCUUCUUAGUCAGUUUAAUUUCGUCUUAGUUUAUUUCGCUUGUUGACUAAGAUAGAACUAUAUUUCUUUUGUUCUACCCUCUCUUUCUACAGAAAAUUAAUCUCUAUGCCGUUUGCUCUUGAUUGGAUUAGCCAUCAACUUGAUUCUUCUCUCAAGUUAGAGUAAUAUCUUCGCUACUAAAUCUUCGUCGUUUGUGAUCGAAGUGGACCUCAUCUUUAGGUCUUAGGCGGAGCUUCUUCUUGGAGUAUGGAUUGAGUUGUAUAAAUUCCCUAGGUAACUCCAAUUUUAAAGACAGCGGUUAUAACUGUAGAAGGAUGGUUCAAAGAGUAUGAUUUCAAGCUUCCACCUCUAAGUUAACGUCUUCAUCUGGUUUGCCAGCACAAAGAAGCGGUUAUAAGCAAUCAAUUUCUAUCAAGAUCGGCACCGGAGUAAAGAACGGUGGUGAGCAAUCAAUGGUGUUCCAUUGGUUUUCUCGCAACAUCUGACGUGUGGACCCUACUAUGUGUUGUAUCUAACACGUGUCUUAUGUAUUUGGGUUCAUUUGGGCUUAAAAGGCUUGUAUCUACUCUUGUAUCUUGCUCAUUAUGAGCUUUCGUUUAUAAAACGAGUUGCCGACAAAAAAAAAAAUAUAUAUAUAUAGUAGAUUUUACUACACCGCGGGUCAAUUUUUUAACUAAAAAAUUAAAUUUUAAAGUGUAUUUUUUAAUAUUGUUUAUUUUAUUAAGUGUUUAAGAUUGUAUAAUUGUAUUUUGAUUAUUAAUUUUAAGAUUUCAUCCGUGAUAUUAAUACCGUCCCGUAUUAAUAUCGAUCCAAAACCCGUCCCACUAUAUAACCCUCCCGUGAAAUUAAACAUCAUUUUGUUAUUUUUAAUAAUAUUUUAUUUAAUAGACAUAUAAUUCGAGUCAAUUUAAAAGUUUGAUUAUAUAUAUACUAGAUAUGGACCCGUGCGUUGCACGGGUUACCGGUCAAAUUUGUUAUUUUUAAAUUCUAUUUUUGUAAGUUUAACUAAAAUUAUAUAAAAAUAUGUUUUAAUUUUAGUAAAUAUAGUACUUUAAUUAUUUUAAAUAUAUAUUAAUUAUGCAUAAUGUGCAAUAUAAAAUACCAUUUUUAGUUUUGUUUAUUAUAUGUUACAAUAUGAUAUAUAUUAAAUAUUCAUAUGUGUAUUAUUGAAUUUUAAUAAAUUAUCUACAUCCAUCGGAAAAGUGUAUAACACUUUCUAAUUUCAAUGCAGGCAAGAUAGAAACAAAACUGUGACAAUAUGAGGCAGUGUAUAUCCACAUCAUGUAACUUUACUUGAUAAUAUGAUAAAUCCUCAAAACAAAAGACAAAUUCAUAAGGAAAUAGGGAAUGUGCACUAAAUAACCUAAGACUCAAAAAAAAUUCAGAAAAUAAUAUUAACUAAACAAUGUUUAUUUGCUAUAUGGUUUUUGUCAAUUUUUGGCCCAUAUUACUCAUGACUUCUUUGUUGUCUCUUUUUUCUUUCCUCUCGCUAGCGAGAAUUCUCAAAUCUCUCUUUUUCUCUCAUCAGAUUUCUCUUAUUUUUGCUCGAUCUUCUCUUUUUCUUUCUCUCACUCUCGUUGGAUUUCUUCACCAUCAUAUAUUUUUUUCUUUUCCAUAUUACUAUUUCUCUCAUUCGUCGGGCAUCACCACCGAGUCUCACUACUCCGACCCAUCAGACCACCACCACAACUGAAUCUCAACUAUCACAAUCAUCAAUACUAAAUCUGGCUAAUUCCAACCCACCACCUUCAUCAAUAUUUACCGCCACCACCACCAAGCUUGAAGCACUUUCAUCAACACCAACACCACCGUUACCGCAUCUUCCCCUCUUUCCCCAACUACUCUUAUUUCUCCACCUUCUUUAUCUCCUCCGACAUCGAGUCGAGCUUCUCCGACAACAACUCUAUUUUAUGUCCAUCGGCGUUCAUAAUUCUUAAUUUUCUUCCAUCGCCAUAUAUUAUUAAUUUGUCUAUAUAUCUAUUUGUUUAUUUAUAGAGGUGAAUAUUUGGAAUCUUUUUCUUCUACGAUUAAUAGUUAAUUAUAAAAUUUCUUUAAUUAUUAUAUUAUACAAUAAAAUUGUAUAAUUUCAUAAAUCUUUUUUAAUUUUAAGGAAAAAGUAAUCUUUUUCUUUUAGAAUUAGUAGAUUUAAAUUAGAAUUAGUAAAUAAUUUUUUAAUUUCUAUUUUUAUUUAAUAAGAUACAUAUAGUUUCUUUAUAAUUAUCUUUUUUUACUUUUUAAUAAUUGUUUUUUAUAUGAUAUAUAUGUAUAGUUGCCUUAUAAUAUUUUUUCUUAAAUUUCUAUUUUUAUUUCAUAAGAUACAUCUAGUUGAUAAAUUUGACAUGUGCGUAUAGUUUCCUUAUAUAUAUUUUUAAUAAAUAAAAGAAAAUUUUUGUUUAACACGUGUCAAAAUCUGAGAUCGAUAAAUUUGACACGUGGCAUGAUCCUAUGAGUUAUUAACUUUGAAAACCAUACUUUAUAUAAUAAGAUAUAUAUAUAUAUUUUUUAAUUUUAGUUAGUAAUAAUUAAUUCUAUAUAAUGAUUUUUGAAUUAAUUGUGUAUGACCGACGGUCAAGAUUGAAGAUUAAAAACCGGAUUAAGAUUUGAAUGGCCACGAUUAAAUGUAGGGAUUUUUGAGAUCUUUUAAGAAAAUCGAAUUGAAUAUGGAUGUAAUUGUGGCAAGGAUUAGUUAUGCUUAAUAUAUUAGAUUAAAAUUUGGAAAUGAUUUUUUAUGUUAGUAUCUUUGAUUUAAUUUUGAAAAUCUAAAUAAUUAAUAUCAAUGACAUUUGAUCGUAAAUAAGUUAGAACUCCAAGAUUUAUUUCAUAAAUGUCUCCAAAAAUGUAUAUAUCAAUGAGUAUAAUGAACAUCAAUUUGGGUAUCUAGGGUUGUCGGAAGUGCAACCUCUAUAUCACUCUUAAUUUCACCUUAUAAGAAAACAAUUUGAGUGUUCUUGGUGAUUGUAAAUAGUUUUCGUUUUUGCUUUUCUGUCUUUUAAAUAAAGCUCAUUUGAGCUAAAAUCACUUGUCUUGAAAUCUCUUCACUAUUAAUUGGUGUCUCGACUUUCAGAGAUAUCAGAGACGUUCUAUUGCGAUAUUGCUUAGUUUUAAAAGGUUUAAGGAUAAGAAUUUACUCUCAUACUUUUGUAGAGAAGAAUUCUAAACCCUUUUAUCUUUAUUUGCAAUUUUAAUAUGAAUUUCGUAUCAAUCUCUUGUUAUGUUUCUCUGUCCAUGUGUGAAUAGUUCUUUUAUUAGGUUAUUUGGUUUUCUAAGGGAAAUUUAUGGAAGAUUUAUGUUACGUUGAUUUGGGAAUUGAUCAUAUAAUUCUUCAUCUAGGUAUGCUAUUCAUGAUUAAUCUAUUUUGGCCAUUUAGAUUCUGCCCUAAGUUGAUUUCAUCGUGACACCAAAAGUGUUGGUUAAAUCAAUCAAUUUAGUCUAGAUGGGCUAAGUGUCCUUAGCCAAGAACAAUUGUUGUUAUUGCACUUUGUGAACAUAUCGAAUUUGGAUCAUAAUGCUUACUUGAAUUUCUAUUGUCAAACGACAAUUUAAUUUCUAGAAAUUGUCGAUAUUUAAUUUAUAGAUAGUUAUUUCAUAGGAAAGUAAGAUACCUUUACAUUUGGAAUUUGAGUUUGAGAACAAUACUUAAUGCAUUCCCAUUUUUUGUCUUGCAUUUAUUCCCUGAACCCCAAAAGAUUUCCUUUAGCCCAAUGUUUCUUAUAAUUGAUUUUACAACUUUGUUUAAUUUUUUAUUGAGUUACAAAGCAAAACUCCUUUUCAUCUCAGCUUAAUUUAAAUUAUCAUAGUUUAUCUAUGUUGAUCCUUGCGGAUAUGUGCUUAUAGUAGGAUAUUUAGGACUAAAAUUUGAUUACAACAAUGGACGAUUAAUCGGGAACUAGUUUUAAACAUUAUUUUAGUAAAUUUAAUAUUAAUUAGAACAUAUAUAUGAUGUCAAAUUUACAUUAUUGCAUGCAAAUCUUUUUUUGUACAACCUUAGAUAUAUAUUAUUUUGAUAUAAAUUUCAAUUAAAAUUAUCUAUAUUAAUGGCACAUCCCACAACGGUUGUCGGCAAUUUUGUAGUUUAUUUGCGUCUAAUUAUAUGAAUCGGCUAUAAAAUUGCAAACGAUUAUUUUCCAAAAGAAGUAAACUAUAAUCGUUGCGGAUGAGUCCCAAUGAGAAGGUAGCCAUCCAUUUAAUCGGCUAGGCGCUCGAGAUUUUGAACAAAAUGUCUGAAUAGGAAAAGACAACGAACAUGGUCGAUUAUAUAAAUAAAAUAAUCAUAUGCAAUUAAAAUAAAAUAAAAACUUCAACUUUUUUAUUUCUUUGAAAAAAACUUCAAUUUUGUCUUCAAUGACAUAUAUAUAUCCACUUUUGUUGACUUCUCUAUUUAAUCGCAAACUUUUGUGACGAAUUAAUUAACGGUUCCAUGAAAUAACUUAACAGUGUAACUAAUUUGACUCAAUAAACAGAAGUUAGUGAUUAAAAUGUAAAAGUCAAUGAAAGUGGGGAUAUUUUUAACAGUCAAAUGGUUGGUGUUUUUCAAAUAUUUUGAAAGUUGGAGAUUUUUUUUAACAUUUUCCAAUCUUUUUCAUUGAAUUAAAAGUUAUUGUAUCAUGUUUUAUCUUUAUCUUGAGUAUCUUUAAAGCUAAGAUAGUAUUUCAAUAUUUUUGCUUUCUUUUCUACUUAUUUUUGGUUUUAAGACAGGUUAAAUAAAAAAAAAUAGUUUCUAACCGAUUUUGGACACUUUGAGUGCAAAAGAUGAUAAGACAAACACUUGAUUUUCUUUGCAGGAUUGAUAGAAGCAAAAAAAGACAAAGAGCGAUCGAUAGCCACUAGAGACUGAUCAGUACCUCCUACGAAUCAAGAUUUCCUUAUUAGGAUUUUCUCUGUUAUUUAAACUAUGUCUCGAUUUUCAAAUAUCUCACCUUAUUUUCUACCAGUUUUAUUGCUAUAGUAAGUUUGGUCAGAUGAAUUUUAAUUUUGUCUCCCAUAUCUUUUAUGCUUUGAUAACUACCAUUGAUGCUUCCUCUUACUUUCAAUCAAUAAGCAACUUCAACAGUGUUUAUCAAAUGGUGUCUCAACGCCAAGUGUCUAACAAGUCCAACUUCAAGUCCAACCUCAAGUCACUUAAGAGGUACACAUUACAUCCCCAUGUAAUGUUUGCCCUUUCAUAGGUUUGGGUUUUGUAAUUUUCUAUACAUCCAUUUGUCUUGUCUCUUAACUAUUGUUUUGUUUCAUUUUCAGAUUCUUACCAUCUCUGAUUUUGAAAUUUAUUUAUUUAAUUAUGGUUUUUCAUCAAUUGUUUUCAGGUUAAAUUGGGUUUAGGAUUUUUAUGU